rnacentral:lncRNA from 1 species
GGACACAUGUGUGCUUGAGCGUUGGAUUUGGAUGAAUCUUUUCUUUCUGAGGGACUAUCGGUUCCUGGACCGUUCCACCUCCAAGUACAUUUGUCUGAACUAGAUCGACGAUCUUGCCCUGGGGGCAGGCGGGAAGAAGGUUGACGCAGACACAUACCCUAUGUCCUGACGAUGCACGUUGCCUGGCUGAUCAGCUUUGUUCCGAGUGCUCUUCCUAGUACCGACUGCCUGUUUAGCUGAUUUCUUGUCAGCAACGUGUGGAGCAGCUUUGGAAACAGUGUGCGUAUGAGCAGCACGAUCAUGCGGGCCAGCCUGAUGUCCUUGUUGCGUGACUGCCGGACCCUUGUUUUGAACAGCAAUUGAGGCAGCCAAACUUGUGCAAUCUUUACCUACUGACUAAGGUUUGUCAGACGUAUCAACAAUGGAGUUUGGUGCAUUCACCUUAGGCUGGUGUGGUUGGUGUGGAAGAUCAGACAGUAGUGGGCUACCUUCGAGCCCUUGCCUCAUCGAUACCAAUGCCGGUGCAACGUCAGCUGAUCUUGGGGAGAUCAAUUCAUUAGAGCCCCCUGAUGUUGCACCUUCAUUGCCGGUCAACACAGCAACAACAGAUGACAACAACUUGGCUGCUGCAUGAGAACUAGUGGCAGCAGAUGCUUUAACGAAGUCCACAUUGUCAGAUGAAGCAAGCUUAGCAUGCAUGCGCUGCAAGGGGUCUUUCUUGGAAUGUUUAGUCGUAUGAGCAGACACAUUGCUUCUCUUCUUUAGCCUGCAUGUAAGUAAGGUAGUAACAAAUAGAAAGGUUGUAAGUUGCCGUGCAUGAAAGUCAUAAGUGAAAAAAUUGACUGUGGUGUAAAAUGAAGGUUAAAGGACUGCAAAACAGAGGGGGAAAAGUUGGAAGUAUGAAAGAAGCAGAAAAGUUGCCAUGUGGUUAAUAAUUUGUAACUAUGAACGAAGAUAAGAUGAAGCAGAAAUAGAAAGUGCACAUGAUGUGGAUCAGUAGGUAGUAAUGAAAAGGCAUUUCUGUAGGGGUCCAAGUUACCACAUGGAGGGUACCCCGAAAGUUGGGACAUGUGGUAGAAGAAAAAUGUAAUGAAGUAAAGUUGCCACCUUAGCAGGUAUGAGAGCAAAAAAGUGGGGGUGACAUAAGUGUGCAAGGUAAAAGGUUGCCAUGUAUGGACAUCUAAAAGUUAUCAUGUAAAUGUAUGUAAAGGUAGACAUACAAAAACAUAACACUUAAAAAAUGUACAUAUGUCGUAGUGCUAACCUUUUAGCCACACCCCUCAUGUCCUCAAGGACAACCGAACCUCCCGUGUUGGAGGACAUGAAGCGAGGAGAUGAACGUAUAGUCGUCUGAGCCUUGCCUGCACGAGCAGAAGAUCUGGGAGGCUGUUGGGCGAUUUUCUCGGUGGUUACUCUUCCGCCAGCGGUUGCCUCCCUACGAGAAAAACAAAAAAGCAUUAGUUGCCGAGUGGGAAGUAUGAAGCAGAAAAUAGAUGUAAUAAAUAAAUAAAUGAUUUAAAAUUGCAAGAAGCAGUGGUGAAGAGGAAAGUAUACCGCUUUCUAGCAGCAACGGGGUCUUGUGCUUCCCUAACCCUAUAUGAGGCUUGAGUACCAGAACGACCGCCCAAACCCUAUACGAUGGAUGUCUCAGCACCUCCGCAAUUGUGCUCAGGCGACGUGUCAUGCUCGUUGUCGUCCAUUCUGUUAUCGCCAUCAUUACGGGCUUCGUCUUGCGGUUCAUCGUCGUUGAAGUCACUAUCGUCAACUGAUAAGUCUUCAUUGCUAGGGGGUACCUCUUGCGAAUCGUUGUGGUCAUAUCUACCACUAGACCCAGUUGGACGAGAAGUGCCACCGCGAACAAAAGAACGAAACUGGUUGGCAACUUCUUCUCUGUCACCAGCCGACAUUGCAGUCCAGCCCCAUACAAGGUUGCCAAGGAGGUUGGUCAUACCGGACGCAAACUGUCCAACGAGAUUCUCGACGUUACUUCGCGCUUGCAUUUGGAAAACACAGAAAGAAAAAAUGGAAGAGGCCAAAAAUGCUCAGCAAAGGGUAUGAGUUAUGUUGGAAAAAUUGAUGCAUAAGAAAAAGUUGUGUGGUACUAACAGUUAAAGGGCAUGCAUCAUUUGUGUGACUGUCCAUCCAUUUGCCGAAGUUGUCGGGGGGGCCAAAGAUGUUGUAGUCAACAUUAUGCUCUCCCAUAAGCUGAAAAGAAGAAGAAGAAAAGGUGGCAAGUUUGAAAAGUCGGUAAAAAGAUGAAAGUAAACUAAAUUCAUCAAUGAAAUGUGAGAACUAAAUUUGGCAUGGUCAAUUAUGAAAUUGACCAUGAUCGACAAAAUGCAUUUGCAAUGGUGAAAUAACUGAAUUUCCCAUGUUGAAGUUAUCGUUUGAAGUGGCAAUUAGCGGUCAUUUUUCAUGGCAAGAAAAAUGUGAAAAAUGGUCGCAACUAUUUGAUGGACGGCGAGUUUGCCAUGAUGCAGGAGAACUUUCUAAGUGUGCCUUGUUGAAGUGAUAAUUGUAAGGGGCAAUUGUAUAGAUGUACAACAGCAUGGCAAUGAAGCCAUGUGAGCUGAGUUAAAGUUGCCAUGGGGUAAAUGUAUAGUAAAAUUUAUGAUUUAUGUAGAAAACUAAAUUGCUAACGAUAAGACAGGAAAGAAUUGGGCCAUGGGCCAUAAAGUAUAGUUCGGAUAGAAGGACUAGCCUGUAGCUUGCCAAAUGUCCCAUCGGGCUUCCUGUCCGCAGCGAGAACAGCCUUGAUUGCAGCAUCAGUCCAAGCACACGCAGCAAAUCUGUGAGGUGCAGGCAGUCCACCAACCGGGUUAAGUUUGACAGUGUUGAUGUCAAGCUUAUCGACAUACAUGAGCUGAAGAGAAUGUGUGAGACAUGCAGGUCAAGCCACUGGCAUAGAAAAAAAAUUGUAAUGCGUAAAAUAAGUAAGAAAGCAGAGUCGAGUAUGGGAAGGGGUGCGAAUAAGAAUAUAAAAGAAAGAUGGUUUGGCAUUAAGUAAACUUGCCAUCAGAUGCAGCCGACAGCCUUUGUUGAACGCUUUGUUUGACAGUCAAGUGUGAAGGAAACCAACUAUGAACUUGCACCAGUUCAUGUUGGCAACAUUCCCUAUCUGGUCCUGUGAGAUGGAGGAAAUGACAAAAGAACAAGGAAAAAAGCGCAAGCUGCGGCAUUAUUUUGGUGAAAAAAAGGAGGUAAUGGUCUUCAAAGCUAACAAAUGAAAAUGAAUGACUAAGCAGGUAAGGUGCACGCGGGGUACAUGGCAAAAAGUUCAUACCAAAACAGGGAAGCAUCUGCUGCUGGGCCAUAACGAUGUCAUGGAGCAAACACAUUUGAGAUGAGGUACAUAAGCAGCUUCCAUCGCAGCAAGCAUGUUCGCGAAAGCAGAGUUCAGGAAAAAGACGUGAUUGCACUUCCGUAUCUUGUAUGGGACAUCCAUGCCGCCAUUGGGGACACCAAGUGUAUUGAAAACAGAUUCCUCAUCAAGUGGAAUCCUACCACGUCCUGGUAUGACAAAUUCCCUCUUGUCCGGAUGGUAUAACCUCGCAAACCAGUCACACAUGGGGUUAUUUAAGUUAGUGCACUGAAUGUUCAUCAACGCCUGCAUACCGAUUUCCUUUGCAGCUUCUUUCUGGGCAUCAUCGAAAUCUUCAUACAGUCCCGUUAGGCGUUCAUGUGAUCCCCCUAUUGCGUGCGGCUUUCUGCUGUUAAACACAUGUGCAAAAAUUUAAGUUAGAAAAGGUGAUAAUAUGGGCUUAGGGGUUGGUACCAUCACAGACAAAAACAUGUUUAACAUGAAAAGGAAAGAUAGAGGCAUGUGGACUGUACAUACCUUCUUUGCAUUCCGGUUAGCAGCACCCGCAACUUCAGCUCUGGGAGGCAUGAAGUCAUCAUCGUCAGAGUCAGGGGCGUUCCGAACCAUAGUGCUGCCAAAAAAUGUCAACACGAAACGUCAGUGCACCCUGAGUGGUAAUAAAGUUGCCAUCCUAAAGCGUGAACUAAGUAUGUGUACUAGAAGAUGACAGCUCAGAAAUGUGAAGCACAAAUAGUAAGAAUGUUGCCAUGUGGCUGAUGGUGAAGUCACACUAACAGUGCGGCAGGUGGUGAGAAAUGACAUGCAGAAGAACUAGGACAUGUACAUAUGUUAAGUAUGCAAAAGUUGCCAUCAAAAAUGGAAAUAUAUCUGCAAAAAAACAAGAUAAACAGGUAUGAUAGCACUGUAGUUCCAUCCACAGUAUAGAUGGGACAUGUGGUAAAUUGCCAUCGACUAAGCCGUAGUCAGCAGAUAAAGAAAGCGGAAACAUAGUUCGCACGAUUCACUCUCUCUGAAAGUCACACGUAUAUAUGUACGAAAUUGUAGUUGACAGUAGUAACGUCAGAAACUUGCCAUCAGCAUGAACGGGGUGAACACUAGGAAUGAAAGGAAUCUCACAUCGCAGAGAGACACGAUAAAAACGUACUUUGUGUAUGUUGCAAAGGUAGCAUCAAUUGUCUGUACAUAUUGAAAAAAGGUACCUCUCUAGCAAGAAAACAGAGUGUACUCUGGUAUAAGCAGAUGAAAAUGCAGAGUAUAGCAGACAAAAAUAUGCUUGAUGAACAACUUUGGAAAGAAGUUGCCAUCCACUGUCUAGUAGACAGUCAAACAAGUUGCCGCCUAGGUAUACUAUUGAAGCUAAUAAGUUGCCAUCCCCGAAAAAAUAGUGCAUUCAUAUUUUACUCUAAUCAUGGCAACAAACCACAUGGGAGGUUCAAAAAAUGCACUGCACUGACAUCAGUUUUGUAGAUGUAGCACUCCAACAAAUCACUUUGCUCUGCCAUUCAUAUUCGUGGACCUAGCUUAAGAACAAAAAUUCCGUAUGUCACUAUGUUGCAACGACGGGUUUGGGAAUCUAGCCUAAGAACACACACCCACACACACACACACAACAUGUGGAACCAUCCAUAGACGACACGAAGAAGUGUGUGCGUUGAAAACUGACCUCACCGAGGAGACAGAAGCUUCGACGGUCGCCGGAGAGGAAAUCCGCCGAGGAGUAGCUCCGGUGAGCAAGCGCUUGUACACCCAAUCUCCGACGAAAAAUCGCCGUCACCUCGCACGCAACCUCCGCUGGAUAGCUUCUUCCGGACGAAUCAAUCCACUCGCCGNNNNNNNNNNNNNNNNNNNNNNNNNNNNNNNNNNNNNNNNNNNNNNNNNNNNNNNNNNNNNNNNNNNNNNNNNNNNNNNNNNNNNNNNNNNNNNNNNNNNNNNNNNNNNNNNNNNNNNNNNNNNNNNNNNNNNNNNNNNNNNNNNNNNNNNNNNNNNNNNNNNNNNNNNNNNNNNNNNNNNNNNNNNNNNNNNNNNNNNNNNNNNNNNNNNNNNNNNNNNNNNNNNNNNNNNNNNNNNNNNNNNNNNNNNNNNNNNNNNNNNNNNNNNNNNNNNNNNNNNNNNNNNNNNNNNNNNNNNNNNNNNNNNNNNNNNNNNNNNNNNNNNNNNNNNNNNNNNNNNNNNNNNNNNNNNNNNNNNNNNNNNNNNNNNNNNNNNNNNNNNNNNNNNNNNNNNNNNNNNNNNNNNNNNNNNNNNNNNNNNNNNNNNNNNNNNNNNNNNNNNNNNNNNNNNNNNNNNNNNNNNNNNNNNNNNNNNNNNNNNNNNNNNNNNNNNNNNNGAUCUCGCCGAAGAGAACGAAGUGUGCGGGCGGUACUGAAACCACCCAGCGAGCGGUGGGGGAGCGGCGGGGAGAGGGGUGCAAUGCGGAUGGGAAACGCGAGCAACUGGAGAAGAGGGAGGGGAAAAGGGGGCGCGCGGCGGCGGUUUCACCGUGGUGUACGACAACUGCUCGGCGGAGUGGUGGGGAAGGAGAAGUGGGGUGGGGGAGGGGAGUUCGGACCGAGAGACCGUUACCCCUAACGGGUGCUGGCUGUCCUACGUGGCAUCAGCUCGCGUCAAGAUUCGUGCAAACUGGACGUACGUCGAUCAGCGCAUUCGGACCAAGGGGCUGUGAACGCGGGCGUUCGGGAGUUAUCGAUUCCAAAAAAGUAUGAAUAAACAGUGUCUUUUGAUAUAAGAUCUUUUGUGGAUCGUUAAAGUACUGAUCCAAAAGAUUUUACAUUAGUUUACAGAGGCAAAGAAUAGUUCAAUGUGCACAAUGUAAACUUUGAAGUCCCCCCGCAACCAAAACGAAAAAACAAUUCGUGACCCGGAAGGACAGACGGACUUUUCACAUACAAAAUUCAGCUGUCCCAGUUUCUUCUACGCAAGAUAGGUAGUAGGCAGGAAUAGAAGUGAAUCUACCCAAGCACAAGCCAUCCAGACUAAACAACAGCACUCAUGCGUACAAGGCCCUGAUGCAACUGUGUUUCUUUACAGAGUGUGCGGGCAAAACUCCAACCGGCACCGCCAUCUCAUAAAUAACUUACCCGUAUCCUGCUAUCUCUGGCUGCUUAAAGUUUACCUCUCUCAAGUAGCUAAAAGCUCUUUACGAGGGAAAAGGAUCCCCAACUAGUUUGUGCAUACAGUCAAAAUGUACAACUAUUCACAGGGAAAACAUACAAAACUUUUCAAGUCAAACUGUGGGGUUUGCGCCCUAGCCAUAUUCGAACUGUACGGUCAUCACUUGCGGAAGCCAGCAUCUGGGGCCUCGCGGGGUUCCAGCUUACACAAUUUACAGUCAUUGAGUGCCCAUAUAGGACCUUUAUCGGCAUCUCCAUGCAUCUUUGCCAAAUGUACACCUGCCCAUUAUCUCUACGCAUCAGCAAAACAGAAACGCUCAACAAGAGCACAAGAAAACAGAUGUGAACUCUUCCCAUUGUUUCGCAUUCGACACGAGUUUUGCUAUUUGUAUCCUACAUUUCUAUAGAUAAUAAAGGUCAUACAGCAGGUUGAUUUAAACAUUAGUGUGAUUGAUCACAAAAGUUUGUGUUGGUUUGUCUGUAGUGGUCCUCUAAAAUUCUACUAUAUCACCAAGUUUGUUUGCAUGUAUUGGAGUACAUGCCAACUAAUGUGUCUGCUUCCACUAGUUAAUAGUGCUAAUUUAGCAAAACUGCAAACCAAAGCAUGCCCUCUUCAACACAAACUUGGUGAGUCUGCAAUGAUCAGCAAGAAUACUGGUAUUUCAGGUAUGAAAGAAUACUACUUCUGGCUAUGCGAGUCUGCAAAUUCAGCAUCGCUCCUCACGGAGAAGGUAUAGUGCAAGAGAAUAAAACCUCCAAAUGCAUGGUACUGCUUUAUUCUAAACAAAUGCCAUUCCUUGUUUCAAAAUACCACCUAACAGGCUCAGGUACGAGAGGUUGAUUAUAUUGCAUACGCAGGCUGAGAAUGGAAUCUAAGCAAGAAGUUGAAAUGGAAGCAGGCCAAGAUUUCUUCGAAGGGAAGGUUAAAUUCUUCAAGAGGGUGUACCUGUGAAUCCUCACUGCCGCUAGCAAUGAAAUGAUAGUCUGAUCCCCCAAAGCAUGAUCUAAUCACAAACUUUCCUUGCUUGUGCCCCUUGAAUUUAUCGGGCACUCUAGAACUUCCAUUGGUUUUCCACAAAUGAAUUUCCUGACUAUUAAGGUUGACAAUCAUUGACUGUCCAUCACCUGAAAGAGAAAGAGAUGAAAUUGUCUGCCGUUCAGGAAUUUUCCAUUCCCGCCCCUUCCGAAGUUCUCGAAACCAAAUUUCGUUGGGACAUACACAGAUUAGAUGUUUGCCAUCAGGUGUCACAGCAAGAUCACUAACUUUGGGUAUUCUCUCUCCAGCCCACAUUUCCAGUUCUUGGCCUUCUAGGUCACAAGUGAAAAUCAUAUUUGGAGAACUUUCAGGUUCAGAGCUGGCACAUACUAUUUUCUCUGAAUUUGGAAACCAUGCACAUGACGCGAUGAUGUGUUUUACUGCAGCACCAAAUUUAAGAUUGCAUUCACCAGUAUCAACAUUCCACAGUCUUAAAGAUUCCCCAUUACCACAAGUGAGAAGCAUUCUAUCAUUUGGGCUCCAAGCAACAAAAGAAAUAGGACUUUUGUGACCCUCGAGGCAGUACUUCUUGGUUAAUGUAUCAUCUUCUUCCACCUACAUCAUCUCCAGGGGUUAGACAUGACAACAAUUUGAAGUUGUAAUACAAGCGAGGAAAUGAGUUAACAUAACACAUAAAUUGUAUAAAGACUACAUGUGAAUGCCAAUAAAAAACAGGAUAUUCUUGUGGAUGAAAACAUGUGAUUUUACAAAAGGCUGGUUACAAUAUUCAUAUUAUAAAUCGCGCUUACUACCUUUAAACGAGCUGUAAAAAUAAAAAAUAAAUAAAAUCAAAAGGACGCAUAGUCAUAACUCAUAACCUCACACCUUGUGGUGCAUGUAUAUACUUAACAUACUUACACCCUCAUCUCUCCACUAGCUUCGAAUAGGAAACAUCAAUGAUGAUCAACAGAAAAGGGAACAUAGGCAACAGUGGUAGGCUUUUGACACAUCUUACAGUGCGUACAUGAGAGCUAUGAAAUGUCAUUUACUUCACUCAAGAUGUACAUUUUCCAUGCACCCCUUGUACAAACGAAGUUCAAUUAGCAUAAAUAGACCCGCCUAUAUGAUCUUUCAUGAACCCAGUUAACUUAUACAGUGAUCUUCAUAACGACACAAAUGCACGUGACCGCAUUUAGUGUUUAUUUAACCAACUUGUCUCUAGUUUCGUGACUAUUUUCCCAGAUUAUAGAAUAAGCACAUCGCAGCACAGUUCAGCAACCGCAAACUGAGCCUAAGUCUUCACAGGUCCAGUUAAAAUGAAGUAUAUGAACAAACCAGAAAGAAGACCAAGAUCUCACAUGAGAAGCAUGAUCUUCCCAAGCCCAGGUUUGUAUCACUACUCAGUUGAAUAUAGUCCCAUCUUCCUAUCAUAGCAUAAAAAUUGGAAGAGAAGACGACAUUAAUCAUCUGAAGAGAGAUAUCGUGGUAAUAUGCAUAUGCCAAUGAUGAAUGAUGGGAAUAUGAUACAAGAGGACGGCAGAAAAGGCCGUAACAAAAGCAAUGAAAGUAUGAACAGGAAAAACUACUGCCAGUCGUAGGUGGAAAUCAGUAUGGUCUCCAACAAUCAUCUUUUCACAUCGAUAUCCAUAGCAAUAUAAAAUAACGAAACUAUAAAAUACUACUAUACUAUGGAAGUAAUUCAGUGUUAUGUCGUACAAGUAAUAAUAAAAAAGAUUGAACAAAUUAGUGGCUAAAAUUCGAAAUGGUUUGACUACAUGUACUCGAAAACAUCAUGUAUUUUGACUUGUUCAUGGGUGGCCCAGCCUGGUAACAUCAAAAUGGCAAAACUUUUCUUAUUCAGAGAAAACUCUGAAACUAACUAAUUAAUUUGGAAAAAUAAUUAAAUGCAUAACUUUAUUCAGGGAUUUUUUUAUCAGGGAAAUGGCAAAACUUUCCUUAAGCACAGAACAGUUAUCCUUUCUUAAGCAAAGAAUAAAAAAUAAUCAGAAGCUCUCUAGAAUCCCACUUUUCUUCAACCAGGCCCCAGAGCCAUGGCAAACAUGGGAGAUGAGCUCCCAGGUGGCCAAUCAAGGGUGAGGGCUCAUGGCCCUCCUAAAUAUAAGUCUUUCUAGAGAUUUCACCAUGGACUACAUACGGAUGUAUAUAGACGUAGUUUAGAGUGUAGUUCACUCAUUGUGCUCCAUAUGUAGUCUCUUAUUGGAAUCUCUAAAAAGACUUAUAUUUAGGAACGGAGGGAGUAGGUGGCUGGGUGCUUUACUAGGAGCCAAACCAGAAGCAAGAGAAAGAUGCAUAUUUCUCCUAUGCACUGCCUUGAAUAAAAUGUAUCCAUCAUGAAUGAAGUUCUUAGUAAUGAUCAGCCAACGAUCAUAUGUAACAAGGAUAUCUGAUAAGGUUGACAGAGUGUAAACUAUUCAUAGUCAGAUUCAGCAGAGGUAAAGAGCGUCCUUAAUAUAAAUGUGUCACGGUGAAUACUACACCUCCAAGAGUUCAACUGAAAGAGUAUCUCACUGCGGAUAGUACUUAAUGCAGUCAGCUUAUCUACAACUCUGGGAGUUUGGAGCAAGCUCUGUACUGAUAAAUACUCCCUCCGUUCCGAAUUACUUGUCUUGGAUUUGUCUAGAUACAGAUGUAUCUAGACUCAUUUUAAUACUAGAUACCUCCGUAUCUAGACAAAUCCAAGACAAGUAAUUUGGAACGGAGGGAGUAUGUCGUAUUGCACUGCUUGUUUGAGCAAUGCUCCAAGAGUUAAAUAGUGCUGUCAGAGUAAAACAGUUUAUUCACUUUAUAUUUUAAUGAUGUCAGGUAUAGCUGGGAGCAGAAAAACAAGACUAUUCUAUUGUGCCCUGAAUCUGAUGGUUCUGCUUCAAAAUUCUAGUGCCAGGAAAAAUAGAUAUAAUCUUAGCAUUAUUUAUGCAAGUAACAAGGCACGUUACUUUUCAGGUCAAUGUUAGGGUGUGUAAAACUAUACCUUCCAUAUGAUGGCAGUACAAUCACUUGAAGAUGAUGCCAGGUAGUUCCCAUCAUUUGAGAACCUUACAAACCAAACUUCGUUUUUAUGAGCACAUAAUAUCUGCAAACAGGCAUAGAAAUUUCAAGUAUCCAUCUCUGCAAUACGGCCCCAGCACCCAAGCAUGGACUAUGUCUAUUCAUUUAGGAUACACAAAUAGUGUACGUAAACAGUCGUCCCCUUUGAUAAACAAAAUUAAUAAUUGUGUGGAUAUUGGUUUUAAAAUAUUAUAAAUCAUAACCAUGUCACUUAGGAUUAAGCAAUGUUUGAAACCCAGGGUAAACCUGUACUGAACAGUAAGUUUUAUGUGAAUUAGCAUGGUGGCUAUGGAAAGCAUACAAGCGAAUGAAGCAGAUUAAUCUACACUUCAAGUGUAAAGAUUACAAAAUGAUACAAGUCCUGCCUCGCCGAUGGAAAAGGAGCAUGUGGUACUUCUGAAGCACAAGUUCCGGUUGAAUGAUAAUUAUAUGCUUCCAAUAGUCAACACAGGGAGGGAUGAAGCUGCAGAUAUAGCAACAUCAUGGGACAGAAAUUUAAAGACCUUAUGUAAAUAGACAUGCUGGAGUGUGCUCAGCGAACUACUCAAUAGAAGUUGCCGUAUUCAAAUUUCUGCUUCGAUAACUCUAGUUUCUGAGUAUGGCGCACGAUUUCCCAUUUUCUUGGCAGGCUAUGAAAUUUAUCGAGAAGCUGGUAAGAAAAAACAAGAAUUACAAGAACUCACACCUGUGUACAGUCAGAAGGGAUCUGCUCUUCAUGGCACUUGUGAUCCUCAAAUAGAGUGACCUCAUCCGGCAGAUUAUGGUAUAUACACGAAGCAACCUGCUGAAUAACCGCAGUCUCCACCAAAUGCUCAAGCCGCCCACUUGGCACCCGGAACCAUGGCGGCAACGCCUCAACCAAAUCCAAGAAAAGCCCAAUCCUGCACUCAGCCACAGCCUCUGGUGCAACCGCGCCCUCGGACGUGACCACUGCGCGUGCCAGCCAGUGCACACAUCUUCUGUCGAUGGCAAGAGGGGCGAUCCGACGCGAGAGCACCUCCGUUGCAAGGCGUAGACCAGCGUCCCCAGUGCCCAGCAGCUCCAGGAAGUGCCCUCUCCACACCAAAAACUCGGCAACCGCACGGUUCCUCUCGGUAAUGCCGGUAAGAGAGUCAAUAGUGGCCGCGCACGCGUCCCACCGGCCGGACAUUACGUCGAGCAGCAGACGGUCGUGCUCCGGGGGGUACAGUGGCACACCGGACUCCGCCUCGAGCGUGGCUGCCGCCUUCCGGUAACCGAGGGAGUAGAGCGACUGCGCGAUGAGCCGCACGAGCUCCUCGUGGCGUGGGGUCUGCCCCUUCUGGACCGCGGCAUGGGGGAGAGAGCUCUCGGGCUGGUCCAUGGACACGCCGAAUUCGCCAGCUUGAGGGAUUUUACGCCCCCAGCAACAGCAAAACCCGGAAAAGGGACGUCAGCUGCGGAGAGAGUGAUUCGGAAGAACCGUCGGAUCAAAACAGCCGGAAAAAGGAACAAAAUUCUGCGCUUCGAGGGACUGGAGAAGAACAGCUGAUAACUGGUCAAAAUCUGCGCGCCCGAUGACAGGAAAAAUUGGAGGAGAACUCGAAAUUCCGAGAGCUUCUUGGUGUGACGACGCGAUUUUGGAAGAGGUGGUGUGGGAUUUUGAAAUGAUCAGAUCAAAUUUGUGGGGAGUUUUGGUUUCCUUGUGGAUCUGUGGGCCGAUAAAAGUAGAUAUUUUGGGAAUGCAUACACAGCUCGGACGGUUGUUUUCGAACGGGACGCUGGAGGGGCCGUGGCCGUCCAUUCUACACUGGAGUUGAAUCCGAGCCGCCCAAGCUCACUAGACGAGGAUAAGAUCGGCGGUGGGGUCCCGAGUUGGUUUUGUUCUCUCCCUCCAUUGAUGAUGCAGACCACUUCUUCCCCACGUCCGGGUUCAUAAUCUCCCUCGGAUUUUAUGUUAAAAUUUUGAUCAUAGAUUUUAUAUUAGCAAAAAAUAAUUAUAUACAACAAAAAUUAUAUUAUUGGAUGCAUGUUUAAAUAAUGUUUCAAAUGAUAUAAUGUUUAUUACAUGAACUUAGGAUUUACUAGUAGUCAAAUGUAUGAUCAAAUUUGACACUAAGUACGAAGAGGACUAAUAAUUUUGGAUGGCGCAAGUAAUGAAUGAAGCUCAUGAAGACUAGCCCUACUAAGGGCCUGCUCGGCAACGCUCCAGCUCUCAGCUUCGUUAACUCCAUGCAUGAAGCUGAGUCGAACGCUCUAACUCCAGGAAGCGGGCGACCCGUUUUAGUGCAAAAAGGAAGGAGUUGAGGAAGCUGCCCUUUUCCAGAUCUGUAGAAACCAAGAAGUUGGAGUUCAGGCUAAUUACGACGGAUUGCCACCGCCAAGUGAGUUUCACGUACCGGUUUGAUUUUCUUUCCCAAACUCUCUCUCUCUCUUUCUCACGUUGCCCAUUUGCUUUGGGCCUCAACUAGGCCACAGCCCCGUGACAAAUCCUGCCAAAUGGGCUAGCAACCCUGUGCCUAACGACAGAAGCCGAAGUUGUAUUCUGAACGCUUUUUAAAUCGCCACCUGAAGUGAGAAGCGGUACGAGAAGCUGAAUCUAGGAAGUUUUGGGGAAGCUGGGCAGUUUCAGAACAGGCCCUAAGUUUCGGGUUGACAGCUACUUAGUUCCGGAUCGCCAAUCACCAAGGCCUUGUACAAAGCCUAGAAAUACGCCACUUUUGUUCAAUAAUGAAUUUCUAUUUCAAAGAAGACAUUGGGCAACUUAUGUUAGAUAAUUAUCAAGAAAGAGUAGUUGAUACAAUUAAAAUGACACAAAAUGACCUGCAAAAUAUAAAAUUACAACCAAAAACGUAUUGCUCGUGUUUUACCUUAGAGUACACUGUCGUUCGGAGCUUGAAAAUGCACUAAACCAGCCAUUGAAGGACGCAAUAGCCAUUUGCUGCCAGAAACAAUGGUCGGGCAAUCGAUGAACUCGACGUUCUAGGGGAUUGUGGGUGCAAUGGCUCAUACCUUCUUUUAGUGAUCCGGUAAAGUAACAGAAAGUAUCAUGCACCUUUUCAUAGGUGACCCUGAAUAAUCGAACCCACGAGAGGAAGGCUUCCUUGAAGCGAUGGUCUCUAGCAAGCUUUCGUUAAAGGAUCAAUUUCAGCUUUUGACCAUAACAAUCAAGCAAAUGGUGAUUCAAACACUUGUAGUAAAAAUAGGUACGAGUAUAAGGUCUUAAUGCUUACAAUCAUGUAUUUGUGUUGGGACCAAAUAUGGUCUUAAUUUGUGCGCUGGAAGUCACCCAUCGAGAUGUACUUGUUACGAAUCAAAGUGGGGGAUGUGUCCAAAUAACAUCUUAACUGACACGGGUCCUGCAUCAAGAAUAAGUUGUCCUACCGCAGGCCCUAUUCAUCGAUAAUUAAGCCUCGAUAACUAAGAUUAAAAUAAUCAGACAUGAGCUUUAGGCGUUAAUGACUACACCUCAUGAAUCCCCAAGGAUUGGAUCUGUGUUACCGUAACCCUUCUGUCACUAGUGUUCAGAAUAACACUUCACCUUCUCCAUGUCCUUAGCCUCUCCGUGGCUCGGUCUCCAUGAUCCUGGAUACCUGCGAGGAUGAAGAUCGCGGACGAGACAACAGACAUCUAUGAAACAAUUUCGUUCACACAUACGGGAUGUUAAUUCAAAGCACUUUCAUUGAUCCCUACAACAAAUACAAAGGGUUGCAAGGCCUAUGCCUCAACCCAUACCUUAUCGAACUACUUACGCAUGAAGAUCGGAUCGCAAGAAGAACACAUUAAACAACACAUCUUGAAGAUCGGUGAAUGCAAAUAUGUCUUACAAUGAAUGCCUUGUGCGGUGCACGAUUACAAGUAUGAACUAGAGGGAGAUGGACUAUGAUGGUGAUGGCGGCGUCUAGGAUUUGUGAAGGGGGAUGACGAUGGUUCUGUUCUGGCUUCAACCGACGAUGUUCUGUUGACAUCUCGAUGUGGUCCCGUUUAUAGAAGUUGUUUAGGUGGAGGAGGCACCUCAGAAUUCGCACCAUACGACCACUCAUACGAGCGCUUGCGGCCGUAUGGAACACCGUCUUUUGUGUUAUCUUCGCUUGUGUGCCUCCUGAUGAUUUCUUAUAUCUCCAUUUCCACUCCUUUCCAUGUUCACAUGGAUUUCUUCCCCUUUUAGCCCAUUUCCUGUGAAACCCCAUCAAAGAGAGGAUUUGUGCAAUCCUUUGCACUCAUUAGUGUAAGGGCAUAUUUAUCCCUACGGUAUUUUGGUGAUUGAUGACAAUGCAUUUGCGGACUAAUCAUGUGCCUCGAGUAUUUCAGAUAUUUCAUUACUAGGCACAAGACGGUCAGGAGCCCCUCGAAGAUUAUUGAAGAUGGUGUUUUUCUACGUUCCUUUUUCGGUGGAUUUGAGUCGUAGGAAAGUCGUACUAUUAAGAGGGGGUCCGUUUGGAAAGGUUUGGGUGGAAUCAUCACGUACACGUUUACUCCUCUUUGCACCGCCUUUCCCUUAGCACUUUGGAGCAUCCUCCGUUUCUUUGUGUUUGUGCAAAAAGAAGAAUUCCUAGUGUUGCUAUUCUGGGGCUUGCGGUAGUACUGCUCUUCGGAGCGGUAGUACCACAGGCCCCUGCGAUAGUACCGCAGGCCUUUGCGGCAGUAGCGCAGGUGGUCACGAUAGUACAGCUCCUUGGGAGACGUAGUACCGUGAGUCCUGGUCCGGCACAGCACCAUAAGCGGAAGUAGGGACGAAUGUAAUUUUUUACAUCCGCUCCCUGUGCGGUAGUACCGCAUGCCUUGAGCGGUAGUAACGUGUCGGAUUUUUACACUGUUUGAAAAUCAGCGGAAGUUGCCACGGACGUUUCUUUAUUUGUCCGUGCCCUUCCCAGGCUGGUCCAAUCCUACCUUGCGGCAGUACCUGAUGAGGACAUGACUACCUUGGAUACGACCAAAAAUAUUGCAUACAUGCAUAUUUGUCAGGUGAUUUCUAAUGCAAACUAUUCAAUAGUCUAUUUAUAUUAUCCAGAACAAAAAUACUUCACACACUUUUGUGUUUUGUCUAAUUGCAGGUGUAUGGGACAUUUGUACAAUCCACAUAUGAAGAUAAGGGAAAAGGAGAUGUUUAGGUUGUGUUCAAAAAGUCCUCUCACGUCACUUUUGGGCCAAGAGAAGAUAGAGUCCAAGUCUCUCACGUUCUGGAUUCAGAUUCGGACUGCACAGACAUACCUGACUCAAAACACCAACAACUUUUUUAUACGGACUCCGAAUUGGGUGAUUCUUUUUUUGUUGGAAACUAGAUUUCGUGAUCUUUCCAUCCCAAUUGGAUUCACCUUCAAAUUCAUCCGGAGCGUUUAGUUACGGACGAAACAAUCUGACGUUGCAGCAGAAUCCAAGUCAAACUACAAGCCCAAAGGUGUUGCAUCACCUCCACUUGGGCCCAUGAGCCUUGUACGACCUAGGGUUAGUUUUAGGCUGCCUUGGGAAAUCCUCCCACCUCCUUGGCCGCCACCCCUUGCUCCUAUAUAAGUAGAUCCAUCUAGUAGCUUUUUGCUUGGGAUUUGUUUAGUUAAAAGUUAGCCAUUGCAACUUCGUGUACUUCGUUUGUGUCCAACGACCAGACCAAGACCGCUUCCGAAUCCCCACCAUUAUCAAUACUUCAUAUAUAUUUGCAAUAUUCGGAUUGCUUUAUCAUAUUCUUGCUCGUUCUUCGAUUGCUUGCAGGAAUAGACCUUCGUGGUCAGGCUGACCGUGCUUCCAGCAUCGUCAGUAACCUCAGGAGAUUGGUUUAGCGAUUGCUAAGGCGCAACGUUGUGCAUGUUUGUAGUCGGAUUGUCAAAGUCGUCUCCACCAAAUCGAUAGUUAUCAUCUUAUCGAAAGAUCGGGACCCUCGCCUCUAUCAAGUGGUAUCAGUUUUCAGGUUGCUCGGUGAGAAUUUCUAGUUUUCCUAGAUUAGAUUUAUUUUCUUACCUAUUGUCCAAGAAAAAUCCACAAAAAAGAGUUAGAUCUAUUCAUCCUUUGUCCAAGCCAGUCUGAGCCUUUGCAAUUUUCUGUUCAUUGCUUGCAUAGUUGAAUUAUCGGUUGCAUCGUCGUAUCGAGUUGCUGGUCUUAGUGUCUAGGUCGUUUAGAGUUUUGAGUUUUGUUCACAUUAGUCACGUCGCCGCUGCAUCAUUAUCCCUUCCGCUGUCCACCACCCAUCCAUCAAUUUCCUCCACGUGCUACCCACCGUUCAUUGUCAUAAUCAUAGUUGAGAUCGUUCCCAUCUUCGCUUGAUCCAAUCUACAUCUUAUCUAGUUUAUUUUGGAAAGAGGGAGAGAGAAAAAAAAAGAUAGAGAAAAAAAACGAGAGAGAAAAAAAGUAAAAAAAAGUCAGAGAAAAAAAAAGAAAGGAAAAGAAAAAAAAGUGUGAGAAAAAAAGAGAGGAGAAAAAAAAAACAAAAUUUGGAUCUAUCUAGACUCAAUCUCGUAGUUGAAUUCGGAUUGGAAUCUGUUUUGUGCACUGUUCAGUAAAACAGGCAUAACUUCUUCAUAUGAAGUCUGUUUUGGCUCCGCGAGUACUCAAAUGAAAGCUAGCGACGAGCCGCAUCUAAAUAGUUGCAGAAACUAGUUCAGUAUUUGGCACCUCAACAUCAGCUUCUAAAUAGGUCUACUGCUAUUGUGAUCUUCACUUAUAUCUUGCUGUCCAGAGCUACUUCAUAUCCUUUAUUGAUGCUAGUUGUGCUACGACGUGACCUCAUUAGUGUUCUAGGCUCGCGUCUCUAGUUUGGUCUAGCCUAGGACCAGCACAGUACCAUCGUUGAGCGUUUAUUCAACAUUGCAUCUCUGAAUUGAUUAUUGCUAAUCUUUUGCUACCAUAUAUAGCCAACCCAGCUCCACAUAUUUCUACACCGUGUAUACGUAUGUUCCCCUGGCAAUCGUUUUACACAAUCUUCGGAGUUAUUUGACACCGCUGUUUGCCUGUCACCACCUGCCGCAUGGUAAGAACUUGUAAGAUAUUGAUAUUUGCUUUACUGUGAGCACUUUACAACCACAUCCUACUAGUUCAUAGGAACAUUAUUCUCGAAUUUUGGUUCUUGUUUCUACUAAUCAUGACAGGUUCCAGAGAUAGAAGUUCUUGGAUGACGGACACAUCUUCACCAUCACGAGAGUUGGGACAACACACACAAGCAUAUGGUCAGGUUAUCUCUUUACCAUCAUUUGAGGGUAGAUUUAAUCCUGCUAUUUAUCUAGCUUGGGAGCUUGAAGUAGAACAAGUUUUUAGUCACCAUGAUUUUUCUGAACUUGAGAGAGUACGAGCUACCAUUAGAGCAUUUACUGGUUUUGCUUCUAUUUGGUGGAGUGUACAUUGUAAGAAAAACAUUGAUAACCAACCCACAACUUGGAAAGUUUUGAAAGCUGUAAUGAGACAACAAUUUUUUCCUCCUUACUAUCGUCGUGAAUUGCGUCGCAAAUUGGAGCAAUUAAAACAAGGCAGUAACACUGUUCAUGCUUACUACCAAGAGUUCAAAUCUUAUAUGCAUCAUUGUGACAUAGAAGAAUCUGAGGAUGAUACAAUGAAUAGAUUUUUUGGUGGUUUGAACCAUGAUAUUCAGGCAAGAUUUCAGUAUAUUCCUUGUUGCAUUACUGGUAUGUAUGUCCGUGCUUGUACCUUUGAGAGACAAAUACAGGAGGAUGCAUUGGGUGACUACAACAACUACUAUUCCAGUUCAUGCUCACCACCGCCGGUUGGUUACUCCACUAUUGCACCUACUAGAGCAGCCCCACCUCGGAUUGUGAGCGCGAUAUCAUCUCAAGAGUAUGGUACAUUGUCAACGUCCGUACCUACAUCAGCUACAUCUCUACGAGGUAACAGUAAAGGUCUUGAUGAUAUAACUUCACAUGAGAAUGAAGCAUGCCUAGUUAACUUGAAUGCAUCAUGUGUUGAGUUACCUGUUGAUUUGAGCACACCACCUAUUUUAGGGACUCUUUUUACUGUCAUGAAUGCGUCAUGUGAUCAAACAACUGAAAUAUCAACAAUUUUGAGUGCACCCAUUGAAUUAACUGUUGAUGCAAAAGAACCAAUGUUUAAUCAUUUUGAUAUGACCUCUAAUCUUGAUGAUGAUUCUGUGUCCAAUGACUUAUUGCAUGUUUGCUUAUUUAAGCAUGUUGUAGCAUGUAAAUUUGAUGCAAGUAAGGUUUAUUCAUCGAAGUUAGGAUGGUUUAAUGAUGAACAUUGCCAAUCUUUUGAAGUGAAUAAGAGCUUCACUUAUAUGUGCAAACUGAGUUGCAAUAUUUUCAUGCCUUCUACUUCUUGUGAUAAUUGUUUGGCUUUAGAUUUUAUGAACAAUGAAAGUUACUCAUGUAUACAUGUGACAUAUGUGCAAAAAUCAAGGGAAGUUAAAAUGGAUGACAUAUACAUAUACAACAUGUACACCUUGUCUCUUUUGUUAGCCACAUUUCAGAUUAAGCAAUGCCGAGGACGGCUUUGUUUUCAAAAAGGGGAGGAUGAUGAGGACAUGACUACCUUGGAUACGACCAAAAAUAUUGCAUACAUGCAUAUUUGUCAGGUGAUUUCUAAUGCAAACUAUUCAAUAGUCUAUUUAUGUUAUCCAGAACAAAAAUACUUCACACACUUUUGUGUUUUGUCUAAUUGCAGGUGUAUGGGACAUUUGUACAAUCCACAUAUGAAGAUAAGGGAAAAGGAGAUGUUUAGGUUGUGUUCAAAAAGUCCUCUCACGUCACUUUUGGGCCAAGAGAAGAUAGAGUCCAAGUCUCUCACGUUCUGGAUUCAGAUUCGGACUGCACAGACAUACCUGACUCAAAACGCCAACAACUUUUUCAUACGGACUCCGAAUUGGGUGAUUCUUUUUUUGUUGGAAACUAGAUUUCGUGCUCUUUCCAUCCCAAUUGGAUUCACCUUCAAAUUCGUCCGGAGCGUUGAGUUACGGACGAAACAAUCUGACGUUGCAGCAGAAUCCGAGUCAAACUACAAGCCCAAAGAUGUUGCAUCACCUCCACUUGGGCCCAUGAGCCUUGUACGACCUAGGGUUAGUUUUAGGCUGCCUUGGAAAAUCCUCCCACCUCCUUGGCCGCCACCCCUUGCUCCUAUAUAAGUAGAUCCAUCUAGUAGCUUUUUGCUUGGGAUUUGUUUAGUUAAAAGUUAGCCAUUGCAACUUCGUGUACUUCGUUUGUGUCCAACGACCAGACCAAGACCGCUUCCGGAUCCCCACCAUUAUCAAUACUUCAUAUAUAUUUGCAAUAUUCAGAUUGUUUUAUCAUAUUCUUGCUCGUUCUUCGAUUGCUUGCAGGAAUAGACCUUCGUGGUCAGGCUGACCGUGCUUCCAGCAUCGUCAGUAACCUCAGGAGAUUGGUUUAGCGAUUGCUAAGGCGCAACGUUGUGCACGUUUGUAAUCGGAUUGUCAAAGUCGUCUCCACCAAAUCGAUAGUUAUCAUCUCAUCGAAAGAUCGGGACCCUCGCCUCUAUCAGUACCGCAAGGGGGUGCGGUAGUACCGCGCGAGCAGCAGUACCACCCCAGCUUCGUUGCUACAGGCCUGGGCUAGCUCCUGUCGUGGCCACGGUAGUACCGCGGCUUGCUGCGGUAGUACGGUGAGCCCUUGCGGUAGUACCGCUUGGUUGGUGCGGUAGUACCGCGGGUCGCGGGCUGGUUAAGUGAAUAACGGUUGGAUUUGUCUCUCCACUAUAUAAGGGGUGUCUUCUUCUCCGAGUUGACCACCUCUUCUAACCCUAAGCUCCAUUGUUGCUCCAAGCUCCGUUUUCGCCCGAUCUCUCUCCCUAGCCAAUCAAACUUGUUGAUUUUCUGGGGAUUGGUUGAGAAGGCAUCGAUCUACACUUCCACCAAGAGAAAUUUGACUCCCCCACUAAUCCCUUGCGGAUCUUGUUACUCUUGGGUGUUUGAGCACCCUAGAUGGUUGAGGUCACCGCGAAGCCAUAUUCCAUUGUGGUGAAGCUUCGUGGUGUUGUUGGGAGCCUUCGAUUAAGUUGUGGAGAUUGCCCCAACCUUGUUUGUAAAGGUCCGGUCGCCGCCUCCAAGGGCACCAAUACUGGAAUCAUGGCAUCUCGCAUUGUGGGAGGGCGUGAGGAGAAUACGGUGGCCCUAGUGGCUUCUUGGGGAGCAUUGUGCCUCCACACCGCUCCAACGGAGACGUACUUCCCCUCAAAAGGAAGGAACUUCGGUAACACAUCCUCGUCUUCACCGGCUCCACUCUUGGUUAUCUCGUACCUUUACUUGUGCAAGCUUAUUUGUGUUAUUUCCCUUGCUUGCUUGUGUGCUUGUUGUUGUUGCAUCAUAUAGGUUGCUCACCUAGUUGCUUAUCUAGACAACCUACUUUGAUGCAAAGUUUAAUUUGGUAAAGAAAAGCUAAAAAUUAUUAGUUGCCUAUUCACCCCCCCCCCCUCUAGUCAACUAUAUCGAUCCUUUCAAUUGGUAUCAGAGCCUCAUCUCUUUACUAAUGACUUUGCCGUCCAAAGAGUAUGGUUGACACCGUAGAUGGUGCGGAGAAACACUCCGGUGUGAAUCCAAUCUCGUCUAUGGCCGAUGGGGGAACCACAAUCUCUCGUGAGGAAUUCAUGUGGCCUUGGACACAUUGAAGACCUCCAUGACGAUCGAGGUUGAAAGCUUGUUUAACAAAUUCAUAGAAGGGCUUAAACUUUCCACCGCACCAUUGAGAGUGGGUGAUCCCACUAACAAGGUGACGAAUGCUAACUCUGACAAGGGGGAAUCUACUAGUGAUCAAGUUCCUUCUUCUAGUGGUAAAAAUGGCACCGGCAUCUUUGCCCAUGUGGAGCCUCCACUUGUCUAUGGUGGACCGAUUUCUUCCACUCAUUUGAAUCAUGCCGGUACUCCCCCCAAGAUUGUGAAAAUGAGGACUUUGAUUCUUGGGUCUAUCAUUUUAAGCGUCAUUUAAAUCAUGUGAAUACUAAUCUUUGGAGAAUCAUUGAAGAAGGUUUCUAUCCGCAUGACCGAAGCAUCUUCACUCCUAGAGAAGCCGCGGAUAAUCAAUUCGAUGAGAAUGCUAUCUUCAUCAUCCAAGAUGCUAUUUCACCCGAAGAUCUUCCUCACCUCCGGCCCUUCGCCAUGGCCAAAGAUGCAUGGCACCAAGUUGUUUCCCUCUACAGGGGAAGCACAAGCAUUCAACGCUCCAACUAUGAAGUGGUGCAAGGUGAAGCCAAUGAGUUUGCUAUGAAGGAAGAUGAAGAACCUCAUGAGCUUUACCGGAGAGUAACCAAACUCGUGGUCUCACUCCGAGAUCAUGGGAGCAAGGACACGGAUGGCAAUUGGAUCAAGCGCAAAUUCCUCAAGGCAAUGAUGCCUUACCAUAGGGCCAUGUCCUCCGUCAUUCAUCAAAGGCCGAACUUCCACACCUUGUCCUCAAGUGAAGUGUUAGAUGAGUUUGUGUCUAUGAGCAUCUUGGACAAAACUACCGACAAUGCGGUGCUAUGUUCUCAAAGAGCAAAGAAGCCCAACCUUGCAUUAAAAGCCAAGGUUAGGGUGGAAGAAGAGGACGAAGAGCAAGAAGAGGAGAGCAACCCUGAAGAUACAAAGUAUCCCUAUCAUGAACACAUGGCUCUUGCUUCAAGGCAAUUUUGGAGCAAGAAGAACUCAAGGCCCAACUUCAACAAGAACAACUCAAGUGACGCGAAGGUCAAGCAACGUAUGAGGGCUUGCUAUAAUUGUGGCAAUGUGAGUCAUUUUUUUGCGGAAUGCCCUUAUGAGAAGAGGGAAGACAAUGGUGGCAAGCUCAUCCGAAAGGACAAAGCCAAGUCUUUCCCCAACAAGAGCAACUUCACCAAGAAGACUCCUCCCAAGGCGUUGGUGGUACAAGAAGAGUACAAUGAGGAUGAUGAUGAUGAAGAUGGUGAGUUGGUUGUCAUGGCCUCCGUUGCCAUUGCGACAACUCCACGGGUGUCACUCUUUGACUCACCCAAUGAGAACAUCACCGCCAAGUGCCUCAUGGCUAAAGCCACCAACAAGGUAACCCCCAACAUCAAAACUACCAUCAUUAAUAAUCCUUCUUUGACGGAUUGCAUUGAUGGAUAUGAGGGAUCUAAUGUGGAGGAGAAUGAGUUUGAGUCCUUUAUGGGUAAACUCAAGGGUAAAUCCAAGAAGCACUUCGUUGCUCCCUUGGAACAACUUGGUGAAGCCAAUGACAUGAUCGAGGCUCACGAAGAUACUAUCUCCAAGAUGGAGGGGCAUAGUCGUGACUAUGGCGAUGAGAUUUCGAAUCUUUCCAAUGCUCUUGAGGAAGAGCGUGGUCAUUGUUUGGCUCUUGAGGAGUCACACAACGUUGAUCACGCUAAGUUAAAGAAAGAUUUUGAUCAUGCUCUUGUUGUUUCUCGUGUGCUAAACUCCGAGAAGGACAAGCUUGGGGUUGAUCUUGCUAGACUCAAAGAGGAGUUUGACUUACUUGACAAGGCUCACAAGGUCUUGAAGGGUGCUCAUGCUAGCCUCAAAGAGUAUCAUGAUCAACUUCAAGUAAAGCUAACCAAGGAAAAAGCCACUUUUCCUCAUAUGAUGUUAAUUGAUAAUGCAAAUGCUACUAACCCAUGUUGUGAGCAUGUGCAUCUUAUUGAGGAGAACGCUAAGUUGAAGGAGCAACUUGAGAAAGGUCUUGUGCCUUGCAUACAAGGCGAGAAGAACCUCAACGACCUUUUGAGCAACCAAAAGGAAGUUGUGGCCAAAGAAGGGAUUGGGUACGUGCCCAAGUCCAAGAACAACAAGAAGAAUGACAAGGCCAAACGACCUCCUCCUCUCAAGCAAACCUUUGUGAAGGAGGGAGAGGGCGCUACUAAGGAGAAGAAGAAGUACACCGUGAGGGGUAGUGAUGCCAAGAAGGACAACGCUUCCCUUCCCAACAAAGCCGGUGACUUUAACCCUUCUUAUGUGUUGUGCCAUGCUAGUGAUGGGCAUGUUUAUGCCAAAUUUGUUGGUUCUCCUUAUGAGUACAUUGAAUGGUCUAUUUGGGUUCCUAAGGCCCUUGUUACUAACAUCAAAGGACCCAUCACAAAAUGGUUACCUAAAACCAAGCAUUGAUCUCUUGUAGGUGUUUGCUUCCGGUGGGGGAUCGUGGUUGCUCGAUAGUGGAGCUACUAAUCAUAUGACCGGAAGCAAGGACUUCGUGGUGGACGUGCAAAAGAUUCCAUCCAUGCCCACCAACGUCGAGUGGGGUGACGCCUCGUCCUCUAAGGUAUUGGGACUUGGCAAGGUUGUCAUUUCUCAUGAUCUUAAGAUCGAGAAGGUCAUGUUUGUUGAGUCCCUUGCAUACAAUUUACUUUCCAUUCGUCAACUAGCACUCAUGGGUUUUGCCACCUUCUUUGAUGUUGAUACCGUGGCCCUCUUGUGGAGCAAGACUCUUAAAGUAGACUUUGUUGGGCAUGUCGAGAAUGAUCUCUAUGUGAUUAACUUUUCGGAGCGACCCACUAAGACCGUGACAUGCCUAAUGGCUAAAGUUGACGUGGGAUGGCUUUGGCAUCACUGUUUAGCCCAUGUCAAUAUGAGAUCUUUUCAAAGUCUUCUCAAGGGGGACCAUGUCCAUGGACUAACAAAUGUUAGUUUUGCCAAAGAUCGUGCUUGCAGUGCUUGUAUCGAAGGAAAGCUACAUGAAAAGGCUCACCCUCCCACGACUAUCAUUUACUCGAAGAGGCCUUUGAAUCUCCUUCACAUGGAUCUCUUUGGGCCUCCAUCUUUUGAUAGUCUUGGGGUUAGGAAGUAUUGCUUGGUGAUUGUGGAUGAUUAUUCAAGAUACAUUUGGGUAUAUUUCUUCAAGAGGAAGAGUGAGACCCAACAAACCGUCAUUGACUUUGCAAAUGAAGCUCAACGUCAACACAAUGCAAAGAUCUUGACAAUAAGAUUAGUGAUGAGGGGAUCAAACAUCAAUAUUCUGCACCUUACACCCCUCAACAAAAUGGUGUAGUGGAGAGGAAGAACCGGACGUUGAUGGAUGCGGCAAGGACCAUGAUGGCGGAGUUCAAGUCUCCAUACAACUUUUGGGCCGAAGCCAUCAACACCGCGUGUCAUGCAUCCAAUCGGCUCUACCUCCGCAAAGGCUUGAACAAGACUCCAUAUGAGAUACUCACCGGUAACAAGCCCAACCUCAAGUACUUCCGGGUGUUCGGGUGUAAGUGUUUCAUUCUCAAGAAAGGUGUUUGUUUGUCUAAUUUUGAGGCUAGAGCUCAUGAGGGCAUAUUUGUUGGUUAUGCUACAAACUCCCAUGCUUACCGUGUCCUCAAUAAGUCCAUGCGACUUAUUGAGGAGACAUGUAACAUGGAGUUUGAUGAGAAUAACAGCUCCCAAGUGGAGCAAAGUGGCACUUGUGAUGUAGGUGAUGAAAUUCCUCCCCAAGCCAUAAGAAGAAUGGGUGUUGGUUUUAUCCUACCCAUUGAUGACCCCCUUGUGGCCGAAGGAGAAGGACAGUGUUCCACUCAUGUGGAACCAUCACCAACUCAAGGCCCACACGCUUCUGAAGAACAAAGUGAAGGCCCUCAACCUCAUGAACAAGACCAAGGGCAAGAUCAACCUCAAGAUGGUGUUGAAUCACCAAGUGAUGCCCAAGGUCAAGUUCUACCUUUCAAGCGAGUCCAAGAUCAAGAGCAAGCUCAAGAUCAAGAACGAGCUCAAGACGACGCUCAAGAUGAUCAAGAUCAAGUGACCGAUCGUCAACUCUCUCCAGAGGAGGAAUUAGAGCAUCGUGCCGCCAAGAUCGCAUCCAAGCUAUCCACCAAAGAUCAUCUCAUGACAAAUGUACUUGGAAGCUUAAGAAAGGGGGUAAGCACUCAUAGACAAUUAGCAAACUAUUGUGAACAUCACGCGUUUGUCUCUUGUGUUGAACCCCAAAAGGUCUAUGAGGCGCUCGAGGAUCCGGAUUGGCUCAGUGUCAUGCAUGAAGAACUCAACAACUUCGAGCACAACAAGGUGUGGAUAUUGGUGCCAAGGCCAACAGGGAACCAUAAUGUCAUUGGAACCAAGUGGAUAUUCAAGAACAAGCAAGAUGCUCAUGGUAUUAUCAUUCGCAACAAGGCUCGUUUGAUAGCACAAGGCUACUCCCAAGUCGAGGGUAUUGACUACGAUGAAACCUUUUCUCCCGUUGCUCGCCUUGAAUCCAUUCGCAUGUUGAUUGCAUAUGCUUCUCAUCAUAACUUUAAGUUACGACAAAUGGAUGUGAAGAGUGCUUUUCUUAAUGGUCCUAUUAAUGAGUUGGUAUAUGUCAAGCAACCCCCCGGGUUCGAGGAUCCCUACUUUCCCAAUCAUGUGUACCAACUCGAUAAGGCACUCUAUGGCCUUAAGCAAGCCCCAGGUGUGUGGUAUGACCACCUUACCGAGUUGUUGCAAGAUCGUGGGUUUGAAAUUGGGAAAAUCGAGCCCACUCUUUUUACUAAGAAGGUCAAAGGGGAGUUGUUUGUGUGCCAACUAUAUGUUGAUGAUAUUAUAUUUGGCUCCCCUAACAAAGCUUUCAAUGAGGAAUUUGCCGCACUCAUGACCUCCAAGUUCCAGAUGUCCAUGAUGGAAGAGUUGAAGUUCUUUCUCGGGUUCAAAGUCAAGCAACAAAGAGAAGGAACCUUCAUCAACCAAGCCAAAUACACUCAAGACAUGCUCAAGAGAUUCAAGCUAAAUGACGUCAAGCCGGCUUCCACUCCUAUGCCCGCCAAAUGCCAACUUGACAUAGAUCCCAAUGGUAAAGCGGUGGAUCAAAAGGUAUAUCGCUCCAUGAUUGGCUCCUUGCUUUACCUUUGUGCAUCUAGACCGGAUAUCAUGUUGAGUGUGGGAAUUUACGCACGUUUUCAAGCCGCACCUAAGGAAAGUCACUUUGUGGCGGUCAAGCGAAUCUUUUGAUAUUUGGCUCAUACCCCAAACUUUGGCUUAUGGUACCCAAGAGGAUCAAACUUCAAGCUUGUAGGUUAUUCGGACUCGGAUUGGGCGGGAGACAAAGUGGAUAGGAAGUCCACUUCUGGAGGGUGCCAAUUCCUUGGCUGCUCUUUGGUAAGUUGGUCUUCAAAGAAGCAAAGUUGUGUGUCUCUCUCGUCCACCGAAGCGGAGUAUGUGGCGGCCGGUAGUUGUGUGCACAACUUUUAUGGAUGAGGUAAACUUUAAAGGAUUACGGUGUCAUUUGUGACAAAGUGCCUCUUUGGUGUGACAAUGAAAGUGCAAUCAAGAUUUCUCUCAACCCGGUGCAACACUUCAAGACGAAGCAUAUUGAGAUCCGGUAUCACUUCAUCCGGGAUCAUAUUAGGCGAUAGGAGAUCGAGCUCAACUAUGUCAACACUCUUGAUAACCUUGCAGAUAUCUUCACGAAGCCCUUGGAUGAAGCAAGAUUUCGCGAGUUAAGGCAUGAGCUAAAUAUCAUUGAUUCGAGCAAUGUUGCUUGAACCCGUGCACAUCCCACCAUACUCAACUUGUUAUCUCGUUUAGGUGUAGGCAUGGACAUAGGGGGAGUGUUGUUCUCUCAAUGAACUCUCCCUCCCCUCAUUAGGCAUAAAUUAAUCAACUCUUUCACAUUAGCCAUUUUUAUGGUACUUGUGCUUCAAAGACGAGUUUUGGUCAUGGUCCCAAGGACAAUUCUUCGCGGUGCCAUACUAAUUGCCUCAAACAUAGGUGGCUCCAGCCACCGCCCUCUCUUUAGAGAGGUUGUGUUGAGUGUCUUAGUCCUUCUCGUCUCUUGUCUUCCAUUCGUCGUGCCGUUUUUGUUUGAGUUAUCUCAUGUGUCAGCUUUUUGGGUGUCCGUUCGCUUGAAGGUUGUCGUGCAAAGGCUUAGUUUUCCCCUUCUUGAAACCUGCAUCUUCUUGAGCGCACGGUACUACCGCGGCCUGCCACGGUACUACCGCGUAAGGAGCACAUGGUACUUCCGCACCCAACGCGGCAGUAAUUUUUUACUGCCGCCUGGGGGAGCGGUACUACUGUCCUUGGUGCGGUACUUCCGUCCGGGCGGUACUACCGCGAUGACGUGCGGUACUACCAUGCUGCCGUGGGCUCGUGGGGGUUAAGAGCGGGCAAGGGGAGUUCCAACUCUCCCAUACCCAUUCGUCCUUUUCUCCCCCUGUGGUCUCUCUCUCUCUCUCUCUCUCUCGCUCGCUCAAGAAAGGCAUCGGAGACCCUCGCCGGAUCGUUCCCCACCACUUCCUCUUGCCAUGGACCAAGGUUUCUCCCCAAAUCCCUCUCUCUUUUAUUCGUCCUUUCGCUUCUAGGUUUUGGGGGAGAUGCUUGUUGACCUUGCGAUUUUAGGCCGAAUCUUUGCAAGAGUGGGAUGUAGGAGAGUAGUGAUGCGUAGAAAUUGUACUUGAUAUGCUGUCCCGUGGUAGAUUUGAUCAACCGUAGUACCGCCUCGUUGUCGCGGUUGUUCUCAGAUUCAGUUGGUUCGGAUCUGAUGCUGUGCGGUACUACCGCGUCUCAGGUGCGAUACUACCGCUCCUCAGGCACGGUACUACCGCACGAGCCGCAUUACUAAAAGUUCUACUACCGCUCCAAGCCAUGAUACUACCGUGCCACCGCGUGGUACUACCGCGCCUAGGAGCGGCACUAAAAUUUUAGUACCGCACGAAUAGGCAGUACUACCGCUGCUGUCAAAUCUUCUUCAUGGCAAUUACCAAAUGCACAUUCUACUUGUUUCACCUGUUUUGGUGUGGUCUUUGCAUUGAUCCUUCUCACUCUCGUGUUUUUGUGGUUUGUGUGUGUCUUAGGUGGCGUCUCCGGUGUCCCUGCUCGUCAUUCCAACCCAAGCCGUGACACGGGCUCCAAACAUCUGCGCAACCAAGAUGAAGUUCCAAAGGGCUCCAAUGCCCCCAAGCGCAAUGUCAAGACCACUGCAAGCAAGUUCAAGGAACCCUCAAAGGGCAUGGAUGAGAUACCUCUUGCUGAGUUUGUUUCUCGAAGGAAGAUCAACCCCUAUGCAAAUCCUCGUGCAAACUUCAGAGGGAAUGAACUGUUCUGGACCAAGCAAUAGAAUCUCAUUUACCUGGAUAUGAUCAAGGCCAAGAAGAAUAUGUAUGUGGAUGUGCACUGGAUUGACAUGAAUCACAUGAGGGAUGAGAAGCAUCGUGCUUACUUUGGUGAGGCCUUGGAUCUGGUGGAGCAGUUUGCCAUUGAAGAUGUGAUCUCUUUCCACCUAGACUUUGACCCCGAGUUGGUGGCCCAGUUCUUUGCUUCGGUCCACUUCCAUACUGGUGAGGAUCGGCGGAUGACGUGGAUGACCAAUGGACGUCAAUUGACUGCUACUUGGAAGGAGUUCAUGGAUUUGCUCAGAGUACCUGAUGAGGGGCUCCACACGCCUGUUGGUGUUCGCCCUCAUGCCAACACUGAGUCAGCUAGCAAGGACAAGCUUCAGUCGUACUAUGUUGAGAAGAAACUGGCCAAUGACAAGUCGACGUGGGUGCUCAACCCAUUCCUUGACAUCAUGCAUCGGAUCUUCCGUCACUCCCUUUUUCCACGCAUUGGGGACAAGGACAAGGUGCAUGCCUAUCUUUUGGACAUGUUGCUCAUUUGUGAGGAGGCGCGCAUUUCUCAGACUCAACCACUUGAUGUCUCACACAUCAUGUGGUGCAAGCUUCGGUUCACGGUGUUCACCCGCAAGGUACCCAUCUAUGGUCCAUAUCUGUUCCUCCUGAUAUCGAAGACCUGGGAGAAGCUCUAUCCCACUGAGGAGUUUUUGGCCCCUGACUGGAUCCGUCAUGACCUCAUCAGACUCCGCAUCAAGCCCUAAUGGGCUAACACUACUACUCGUGCCGAGGCUGAGGCUGCUAAGAGGGUUGUUGAUGAGGAGGAGAUUGCGGGGGAGAAUAUUGCUGAGGACAGCUCUACUGGAUAUGCACCUCCCUCCACUGAGCCCUCAUGGGCUAAGAAGCUGAAGGCCAAGAUGAAGGCCUUGUUCUGCAUGCAGGCCAAGGGGCAGUACCGGACUCACGUUGCCUCCAAGGAGAGUCGCCGCCGCGACAAGAAGAUCAUGAGGGUUUUUGGAGAGGAUGUUUCUGGCGGCUCCGAGGAGCACAUCACUCCAGAGGCCGAAUGGAUGACUAAACAAGGCUACAAGUGGACUGAUUCUGAGGAGGAGCCCAUCCCCGCUGCCGAGUCUGAUGAAGAGCGUGCGAGCGACUACUCCGCUUGAGCCACCACUUGUGUUGUAGGUGUCCUCUCUGCCUUUUUGGAGUCUUGGUGCCAAAGGGGGAGAGAGUGUAGGGAUUUGCCAUGUCGUGUCAUGUUUGCUUCGCUUGUGUUUGUUCCGUUGAACCUUGUCUGCUUUGGUUUGGUUUGGUUUGAGUUUGUUUGAGCUUGUGAGACUUUUCUAUCAUAUGGUGUAAGACAUAUGCACUCUAUCUAUCGCACCUUCUUGAGCUUAUGAUAUAUUGUGCUACUUAGUUUAUGCUCUUAUUUACUAUCUUGCUUAGUGUUAGCAUUAUUAUUGCAAGAUAUGCCAUGUCUAUAAAAUAUAGGGGGAGUGUUGAUCCUAGUAUGUGUGUCGUGCAGUCCAAAGCACUUAUCUAAAUAGCACACAUCUAGGGGGGCCCGUCUAUAUUUUAGAGAUGUAUGGUUUGCUCAUGUUCUAUACUUUCUCCCUUAUGCAAAUCCCGUAUUGUCAUUAAUCCACCAAAAAGGGGAAGAUUGUAAGGGCAUAUUCAUAACUAAGGUGUUUUGGUGAUUGAUGAAAAUGCAUUUGCGAACUAAUCGUGUGCCUCGAGUAUUUCAGAUAUUUCAUUACUAGGCACAAGACGGUUAGGAGCCCCUCGAAGAUUGUUGAAGACGGCGUUUUCUACAUUCCAUUUUCGGUGGAUUUGAGUCGUAGGAAAACCGUACUAUUAAGAGGGGGUCCGCUUUGGGAAGGUUUGGGUGGAAUCGUCACGUACACGUUUACUCCCCUUUGCAUCGCCUUUCCCUUAGCACUUUGGAACAUCCUCCAUUUCUUCGUGUUUGUGCAAAAAGAAGAAUUCCUAGUGUUGUUGUUCUGGGGCUUGCGGUAGUAUUGCUCUUAGGAGUGGUAGUACCGCAGGUGGUCAUGGUAGUACCGCUGCGUGGGAGCCGUAGUACCGUGAGUCCUGGUCCGGCACAGCACCAUAAGCGGAAGUAGGGGCGGAUGUAAUUUUUUACAUCCGCUCCCCGUGCGGUAGUACCGCAUGCCUUGAGCGGUAGUACCGUGUCAGAUUUUUGCACUGUUUGAAAAUCAGCGGAAGUUGCCACGAACGUUUCUUUAUUUGUCCGCGCCCUUCCCACGCUGGUCCAAUCCUACCUUGCGGUAGUACCGCAAGGGGGUGCGGUAGUACCGUGCGAGCGGCAGUACCGCCCCAGCUUAGUUGCUAUAGGCCUGGGCUAGCUCCUGUCGUGGCCACAGUAGUACCGCGGCUCGCUGCAGUAGUACCGUGAGCCCUUGCAGUAGUACCGCUUGGUUGGUGCGGUAGUACCGCAGGUCGCGGGCUGGUUAAGGAUAACGGUUGGAUUUGUCUCUCCACUAUAUAAGGGGUGUCUUCUUCUCCGAGUUGACGACCUCUUCUAACCCUAAGCUCCAUUGUUGCUCCAAGCUCCGUUUUCGCCCGGUCUCUCUCCCUAGCCAAUCAAACUUGUUGAUUUUCUAGGGAUUGGUUGAGAAGGCCUCGAUCUACACUUCCACCAAGAGAAAUUCGACCCCCCACUAAUCCCUUGCGAUCUUGUUACUCUUGGUGUUUGAGCACCCUAGACGGUUGAGUUCACCACGAAGCCAUAUUCCAUUGUGGUGAAGCUUCGUGGUGUUGUUGGGAGCCUCUGAUUAAGUUGUGGAGAUUGCCCCAACCUUGUUCGUAAAGGUCCGGUCGCCGCCUCCAAGGGCACCAAUAGUGGAAUCAUGGCAUCUCGCAUUGUGUGAGGGCGUGAGGAGAAUACGGUGGCCCUAGUGGCUUCUUGGGGAGCAUUGUGCCUCCACACCGCUCCAACGGAGACGUACUUCCCCUCAAAAGGAAGGAACUUCAGUAACACAUCCUCGUCUUCACCGUCUCCACUCUUGGUUAUCUCGUACCUUUACUUGUGCAAGCUUAUUUUUGUUAUUUCCCUUGCUUGCUUGUGUGCUUGUUGUUGUUGCAUCAUAUAGGUUGCUCACCUAGUUGCUUAUCUAGACAACCUACUUUGAUGCAAAGUUUAAUUUGGUGAAGAAAAGCUAAAAAUUGUUAUUUGCCUAUUCACCCCCCUCUAGUCAACUAUAUCGAUCCUUUCAAUUAGUCAUUAGUAGCAAUACCGAAGCGAAUAUCUCUGUUUUAACGAAAUAUGUCGGUUUAAAAAAGGGUGAAUGAGUGUAAAAAUAUCACUCAUCAGUGGUGAUGUCCAGAAAAUGCAUCAUUGAUACGUCCAUUUUGCAUCAUAUUUUUAUGUUAAUAUUUAUUGCAUUAUGGACUGUUAUUUCACUUUAUGAUACAAUUAUUAUGCAUUUUAUCUCUUAUUUUGCAAGUUUCACAUGAAGAGGGAGAUUGUCGGCAGUUGGAAUUCUGGACCGGGAAGGGCUGCAUCAGAGGCACUUUUUCUGAACAUCUCCAAAUGAGAUGAAAAAUUAGGGAGAAUUAUUUUGGAAUAUAUUAAAAUUAUUGGCGAAAGAAAUACCAGAGGGGGAUCCACCAGGCAGCCACAAGCCUUGGGGGCGCCCCCCCCCCCGAGCUUGCGGCAUCCCUAGCAGGCCUUCGGGGCCCAUAUUCUCCCAUAUGUUGCCUUUUACCCUUGAAAAAAAAUCAAAAGGAAGGUUUCAGGAUGAAGCGCCACUGUCUUGAGGCGGAAUCUGGGUAGGAGCACUUUUGCUCUUCAGCGGAGAGAUUCGCCGAGGAAACUUCCUUCCGGGGUGGAGAAUCGAAGCCAUCGUCGUCACCGAAGAUCCUCUCAUCAUGGGAGGACCAAUCUUCAUCAACAUCUUCACCAGCACCAUCUCAUCUCAAAUUCUAGUUCAUCUCUUAUAUUCAAUGUUUGUCUCAAAACCUCAGAUUGGUACCUGUGGGUUGCUAGUAGUGUUGAUUACAUCUCGUAGUUGAUGCUUGUUGGUUUAUUUGGUGGAAGAUCAUAUGUUCAAAUCCAUGAUGUUAUUCGAUACCCCUAUGAUCUUGAGCAUGAAUAUGAUUUGUGAGUAGUUACAUUUGUUCUUGAGUACAUGGGAGAAGUCUUGUCAUAAGUAAUCAUGUGAAUUUGGUAUUCGUUCGAUAUUUUGAUGAUAUGUAUGUUGUUGUUUCCCUUAGUGGUGUUAUGUGAACAUCGACUACAUGACACUUCACCAUCUUUGAGCCUAAGGGAAGGCAUUGUGGAGUAGUUAUUAGAUGAUGGGUUGCUAGACUGACAGAAGCUUAAAUCCUAGUCUAUGUGUUAUUCCGUAAGGGGCUGAUUUGGAUCCAUGUGUUUCAUGCUAUGUUUAGAUUUAUCUUAAUUCUUCUUUCGUAGUUGCGGAUGCUUGCGAAAGGGGGUAAUCAUAAGUGGGAGGCUUGUUCAAGUAAGAACAGCACCCAAGCACCGGUCCACCCACAUAUCAAAUUGUCAAAUUAACGAAUGUGAAUCAAACAAACCUGAUGAAAGUGACUAGAUGAAAUUGCCGUGUGUCCUCAAGAACGCUUUGCUUAUUCUAAGAGAUUGUUCCGGCCUAUCCUUUGCUAAAAAAAGGAUUGGGCUACCUUGCUGUACCUUUGUUACCAUUACUACUAUUUGCUCAUUACAAAUUACCUUGCUAUCAAACUAUACAUUUCCGACAAUUUCAGUGCCUGCAGAUAAUACCUUGCUGAAAACCUCUUGUCAUUUCCUUCUGCUCCUCGUUGGGUUCGACACUCUUACUUAUCUAAAAGACUAUGAUUGAUCCCCUAUAUUUGUGGGUCAUCAAUCGUGGAGCGGGGGAUCCAGUGGUUGGUCGUGCAGUGGCCUGUGUAGAAAGGAUAUUGGAUGCAACUCAAUUGUAUUCAUCAAAGUCGUAUACAAUAUAUACAGGAGAUGUCUUGCGUGACAAGCCAACUAACCCUACAAAAUCUCUAGAAGUUAAAGUAUACAUGGCUAGAGAUGAGAGAGAGGGGGGAGAGAGAGAUCAAUUGGGAGAUAUGUACACAUAUGUCACGUUCACCCCCUUCCCCCCAGUCCGAGCAUUGUCGUCGGCGAUGCAAAGACUGGAGCAAAACUCCUAGAAUGCAGCAGGUGGCAACCCUUUGGUCAUAAUGUGGAUGAACCGUACCUUCUCGCACAUGAAGUGAACAUCUAGCUCAAUCAGUUUGGUGCGCUUAUGAUGCACUGGAUUGGCAACAAGAUAGGUGGCUGAAACAUUGUCACAGAAAACCAUCGUAACCUUGGGAAUGGGGACCCAAAGCUCACCAAGGAGAUGACGCAGCUAACAAGUCUCAGCUACAACGUUAGCCACCGCAUGGUACUCAGCCUUGGCACUCGAGCGGGACACAAUGGGCUGCCGCUUAGAGGACCAUGAGAUGAGCGAGUUGCCAAGGAAGACACAGUAGCCAGAUGUUCAUCUCAUGUGUCAAGACAGCCAACCCAAUUUGCAUAUGUGUAGGCAAGAAGCUCGGUGGAGGCGGAGGCGUGAAGUCGAAGACCAUAAGUUGUGAAUGUAACGGAGGAUGCGCUUGACCAGAGACCUGUGAACAUCAUGAGGUGAGUGCAUGUGAAUGCAAACUUGCUGCACGGCAUACUGAAUGCCUGGUUAGGUAAGUGUGAGGUACUAAAGAACACCAACAAUGUUGCGGUAGAGAGCGGUGUCCGUGGAGGGCUGCCCGUCGGUGGUAGAGAGCUUCGGCUUGGCCUUGGUGAAGGAAAUAUGCCCUAGAGGCAAUAAUAAAGUUAUUAUUUAUUUCCUUAUUUCAUGAUAAAUGUUUAUUAUUCAUGCUAGAAUUGUAUUAACCGGAAACAUAAUACAUGUGUGAAUACAUAGACAAACAGAGUGUCACUAGUAUGCCUCUACUUGACUAGCUCGUUGAUCAAAGAUGGUUAUGUUUCCUAACCAUAUACAUGAGUUGUCAUUUGAUAAACGGGAUCACGUCAUUAGGAGAAUGAUGUGAUUGACUUGACCCAUUCCGUUAGCUUAGCACUUGAUCGUUUUAGUUUACUGCUAUUGCUUUCUUCAUGACUUAUACAUGUUCCUAUGACUAUGAGAUUAUGCAACUCCCGAUUACCGGAGGAACACUUUGUGUGCUACCAAACGUCAGAACGUAACUGGGUGAUUAUAAAGGUGCUCUACAGGUGUCUCCGAUGGUACUUGUUGAGUUGGCAUCGAUCGAGAUUAGGAUUUGUCACUCCGAUUGUCGGAGAGGUAUCUCUGGGCCCUCUCGGUAAUGCACAUCACUAUAAGCCUUGCAAGCAAUGCAACUAAUGAGUUAGUUACGGGAUGAUGCAUUACGGAACAAGUAAAGAGACUUGCCGAUAACGAGAUUGAGCUAGGUAUUGAGAUACCGACGAACAAAUCUCGGGCAAGUAACAUACCGAUGUCAAAGGGAACAACGAAUGUUGUUAUGCGGUUUGACCGAUAAAGAUCUUUGUAGAAUAUGUAGGAGCCAAUAUGAGCAUCCAGGUUCCGCUAUUGGUUAUAUACCGGAGACGUGUCUCGGUCAUGUCUACAUAGUUCUCGAACCCGUAGGGUCCGCACGCUUAACGUUCGGUGACGAACGAUAUUAUGAGUUUAUGUGAUUUGAUGUAGCGAAGGUAGUUCGGAGUCCCGGAUGUGAUCACGAACAUGACGAGGAGUCUCGAAAUGGUCAAUACAUAAAGAUUAAUAUAUUGGACGACUAUAUUCGGAUACCGAAAGUGUUCCGGGUGAUUUCGGAGAAAACCGGAGUGUCGGAGGGUUACCGGAACCCCCCGGGAGAAGUAAUGGGCCACAUGGGCCUUAGUGGAGAGAGAGGGACAACCAGGGCAGGCCGCGCGCCCCUCCCCCUCUGGUCUGAAUUGGACUAGGGAAGGGGGGGCGGCGCCCCCCUUUUCCUUCUCCCUCUCCUCCUUCCUUUCCCCCUCCUAGUAGGAGUACGAAAGGGGAGUCCUACUCCUACUAGGAGGAGGACUCCUCCUCCUGGCGCGCCCUGCAAAGGCCGGCCGGCCUCCUCCCUUGAUCCUUUAUAUACGGGGGCAGGGGCACCCUAGGACACACAAGUUGAUUGUUCCAAGUUGUGUGCGGUGCCCCCUCCACCAUAAUCCACCUCGAUCAUAUCGUAGCGGUGCUUAGGCGAAGCCCUGCGUCGGUAGCGACAUCAUCACCGUCAUCACGCCGUCUGAUACAUCCAUUUUGCAUCAUGCUUUUAUAUCGAUAUUUAUUGCAUUAUGGGAUGUUAUUAGACAUUAUGUCGCAAUACUUAUGCCUAUUCUCUCUUAUUUUGUAAGGUUUACAUAAAGAGGGAGAAUGCCGACAGCUGGGAUUCUGGGCUGGAAAAGGAGCAAAUAUUAGAGACCUAUUCUGCACAGCUCCAAAAGUCCUGAAACUUCACAGAAGUCAUUUUCAGAAUAUAUAAUAAAUACUGAGUGCAAGAAGUUCACCAGGGGGCCACACCCUGCCCACGAGGGUGGGGGGUGCGCCCUACCCCUUGGGCGCGCCCCCUACCUCGUGGCCCCCUGGUGGCCCUAUGAUGUCCAUCUUCUGCUAUAUGGAGUCUUUCGAUGAGGAAAAAAUCAGAAGCCAUCUUUCCGGACGAGACUCCCCCGCCACGAGGCGGAACCAAUCUAGGGCUCUAGUGGAGCUAUUCUACCGGGGAAACUUCCCUCCGGGAGGGGGAAAUCAUCACCAUCGUCAUCACCAACGCUCCUCUCAUCGGGAGAGGGCAAUCUCCGUCAACAUCUUCACCAGCACCAUCUCCUCUCCAAACCCUAGUUCAUCUCUUGUAUCCAAUUCUUGUCUCCAAGUCUGGGAUUGGUACCUGUGGGUUGCUAGUAGUGUUAAUUACUCAUUGUAGUUGAUGCUAGUUGGUUUAAUUGGUGGAAGAUCAUAUGUUCAGAUCCUAUAUGCAUAUUAAUACCCCUCUGAUUAUGAACAUGGAUAUUCUUUGUGAGUAGUUAUGUUUGUUCCUAAGGACAUGGGAGAAGUCUUGCUAUUAGUAGUCAUGUGAAUUUGGUAUUCAUUCGAUAUUUUGAUGAGAUGUAUGUUGUCUCUCCUCUAGUGGUGUUGUGUGAACGUCGACUACAUAACACUUCACCAUUAUUUGGGCCUAGAGGAAGGCAUUGGGAAGUAAUAAGUAGAUGAUGGGUUGCUAGAGUGACAGAAGCUUAAACCCUAGUUUAUGCGUUGCUUCGUAAGGGGCUGAUUUGGAUCCACAUGUUUCAUGAUAUGGUUAGGUUUACCUUAAUACUUUUGUUGUAGUUGUGGAUGCUUGCAAUAGAGGUUAAUCAUAAGUGGGAUGCUUGUCCAAGUAAGGGCAAUACCCAAGCAUCGGUCCACCCACAUACCAAAUUAUCAAAGUACCGAACGCGAAUCAUAUGAUCAUGAUGAAAACUAGCUUGACGAUAUUCCCAUGUGUCCUCGGGAGCGCUUUACAUCAUAUAAGAGUUUGUCCAGGCUUGUCCUUUGCUACAAAAAGGAUUGGGCCACCUUGCUGCACUUUAUUUACUUUUGUUACUUGUUACUCGUUACAAAUUAUCCUAUCACAAAACUAUCUGUUACCUAUUAUUUCAGUGCUUGCAGAGAAUACCUUGCUGAAAACCGCUUAUCACUUCCUUCUGCUCCUCGUUGGGUUCGACACUCUUACUUAUCGAAAGGACUACGAUAGAUCCCCUAUACUUGUGGGUCAUCAAGACUCUUUUCUGGCGCCGUUGCCGGGGAGUGAAGCGCCUUUGGUAGGUGCAAGUUGGUAAGGAAAAAUUUAUAUAGUGUGCUGAAAUUUACUGUCACUUGUUACUAUGGAAAGUAAUCCUCUGAGGGGCUUGUUCGGGGUAUCUUCACCCCGACCAGUAGAGCAAAGAGUUGCUCCUCAACCUACUGAACCUACUGAAAAUGAAAAUGUUUUCUUUGAAAUUCCUUCGGGUAUGAUAGAAAAACUGCUAGCUAAUUCUUUUGCAGGAGACGGAACAACGCAUCCUGAUGAGCACUUAAUAUAUGUGGAUGAAGUCUGUGGAUUAUUUAAGCUUGCAGGUGUACCCGGAGAUGUUAUUAAGAAGAAGGUCUUCCCUUUAUCUUUGAAGGAAGAUGCAUUGACAUGGUAUAGGCUAUGUGAUGAUACGGGGUCAUGGAACUACAAAUGAUUGAAAUUGGAAUUUCAUCAGAAGUUUUAUCCUAUUCAUCUUGUUCAUCGUGAUCACAAUUAUAUAUAUAUAUAUAUAUAUAUAUAUAUAUAUAUAUAUAUAUAUAUAUAAUUUUUGGCCUCCCGAAGGAGAAAGCAUCGCUCAAGCUUGGGGGAGGCUUAAAUCAAUGUUAUAUUCAUGCCUCAAUCAUGAGCUCUCAAGAGAAAUGAUUAUUCAAAAUUUAUAUGCUCGGCUUUCUAAUAACAAUCGCACCAUGCUCGAUACUUCUUGUGAUGGCUCUUUUAUGACGAAGACUAUUGAAUUCAAAAGGGAUUUAUUGGAAAUAAUUAAAUGCAACUCUGAAGAUUGGGACCUCGACAAAGGUCAGGAGUCAGGUAUGACACCUAAGUUUGAUUGUGUUAAAUCUUUUAUGGAUACCGAUGUUUUCCGUAAACUUAGCACUAAAUAUGGACUUGACUCUGAGAUAGUAGCUUCUUUCUGUGAAUCUUUUGCUACUCAUGUUGAUCUCCCUAGGGAGAAGUGGUUUAAAUAUCAUUCUCCCAUAGAAGUAAAAGUAGUUGCACCUAUUAAAGUUGAAGAAAAGAAUAUCACUUAUAAUGAUCCUAUUGUUCCUACUUCUUAUGUUGAGAAACCACCUUUUCCUGUUAGGAUAAAAGAUCAUGCUAAAGCUUCAACUGUGGUUCGUAAAAGCAAUAUUAGAACUUAUACACCUCCUGAACAAGUUAAAGUUGAACCUAAUAUUGCUAUUGCUAAAGAUCUCUUGUCUGAUAAUAUUGAUGGGCAUGUUAUUUAUUUUUGUGAUGAAACUGCUAGAAUUGCUAAACCUUGUGCUAAAGAUAAACCUAGACCAGUGGUAGGCAUGCUUGUUAUUUCUGUUAAAAUAGGAGAUCAUUGUUAUCAUGGCUUAUGUGAUAUGGGUGCUAGUGCUAGUGCAAUACCUAUUGACUUAUACAAAGAAAUUAUGCAUGAUAUUGCACCUGCUGAGUUAGAAGAUAUUGAUGUCACAAUUAAACUUGCCAAUAGAGAUACUAUUUCACCUAUGGGAAUUGUUAGAGAUGUUGAAGUCUUGUGUGGGAAAACUAAAUAUCCUACUGAUUUUCAUGUUCUUGGUUCCCCACAAGAUAGCUUUUGUCCCAUUAUAUUUGGUAGACCCUUCUUGAACACUGUUAAUGCUAAGAUAGAUUGCAAAAAGGAUGUUGUUACUAUUGGUUUAGGUGAUAUGUCUCAUGAAUUUAAUUUCUCUAAAUUUCAUAGACAACACCGUGAAGAGGAAUUGCCUAGUAAAGAUGAAAUUAUUGGUCUUGCUUCUAUUGCCGUACCUCCUAGUGAUCCUUUAGAACAAUAUUUGCUAGACCAUGAAAAUGAUAUGUUCAUGAAUGAAAGAAAGGAAAUAGAUGAAGUAUUCUUUAAACAGGAACCCAUCCUGAAACACAAUUUGCCUGUUGAAAUCCUAGGGGAUCCUCCUCCACCCAAGGGUGAUCCCGUGUUUGAGCUUAAACCAUUACCUGAUACUCUUAAAUAUGCUUAUCUUGAUGAGAAAAAGAUAUAUCCUGUUAUUAUUAGUGCUAACCUUUCAGAGCAUGAAGAAGAGAGAUUAUUGAAAACUCUGAAGAAGCACCGUGCUGCUAUUGGAUAUACUCCUGAUGAUCUUAAGGGCAUUAGUCCCACUCCGUGUCAACACAAAAUAAAUUUGGAGGAAGAUGCCAAACCAGUUUGUGAUCAUCAACGACGGCUGAAUCCUAAGAUGAAGGAAGUGGUAAGGAAGGAAAUACUAAAGCUUCUUGAGGCAGGUAUAAUUUAUCCAGUUGCUGAUAGUCAGUGGGUAAGUAUUGUCCAUUGUGUCCCUAAGAAGGGAGGUAUUACUGUCAUUCCUAAUGAUAAAGAUGAGUUGAUCCUGCAAAGAAUUAUUACAGGUUAUAGGAUGGUAAUUGAUUUCCGCAAAUUAAAUAAAGCUACUAAAAAAGAUCAUUACCCCUUAACUUUUAUUGAUCAAACGCUAGAAAGAUUAUCCAAACAUACACAUUUUUGAUUUCUAGAUGGUUAUUCUGGUUUCUCUCAAAUACCUGUGUCGGCCAAUGAUCAAUCAAAGACUACUUUUACUUGCCCUUUUGGUACUUUUGCUUAUAGACAUAUGCAUUUUGGUUUAUGUAAUGCACCUACUACCUUUCAAAGAUGCAUGAUGGCUAUAUUCUCUGACUUUUGUGAAAAGAUUUGUGAGGUUUUCAUGGACGAUUUUUCUGUCUAUGGAUCCUCUUUCGAUGAUUGCUUGAGCAACCUUGAUCGAGUUUUGUAGAGAUGUGAAGAAACUAAUCUUGUCUUGAAUUGGGAAAAGUGCCACUUUAUGGUUAAUGAAGGUAUUGUCUUGGGGCAUAAAGUUUCUGAAAGAGGUAUUGAAGUUGAUAAAGCCAAGGUAGAUGCUAUUGAAAAGAUGCCAUGUCCCAAGGACAUCAAAGGUAUAAGAAGUUUCCUCGGUCACGCCGGUUUUUAUAGGAGGUUCAUUAAGGACUUCUCAAAAAUUUCUCGGCCUCUGACUAAUUUAUUACAAAAAGAUAUACCAUUUGUUUUUGAUGAUGAUUGUGUAGAAGCAUUUGAAAUACUUAAGAAAGCAUUGAUCUCUGCACCUAUUGUUCAGCCACCUGAUUGGAAUUUACCUUUUGAAAUUAUGUGUGAUGCCAGUGAUUAUGUUGUAGGUGUUGUUCUAGGGCAAAGAGUUGAUAAGAAAUUAAAUGUUAUUCAAUAUGCUAGUAAAACUCUAGAUAAUGCCCAGAGAAAUUAUGCCACUACGGAAAAAGAAUUCUUAGCAGUUGUAUUUGCUUGUGAUAAGUUCAGACCUUAUAUUGUUGAUUCUAAGGUAACUAUUCACACUGAUCAUGCUGCUAUUAAAUAUCUUAUGGAAAAGAAAGAUGCUAAACCUAGACUUAUUAGAUGGGUUCUCUUGCUACAAGAAUUUGAUUUGCAUAUCAUUGAUAAAAAGGGAGCUGAGAACCCCAUUGCAGACAACUUGUCUAGGUUAGAAAAUGUUCUUGAUGACCCACUACCUAUUGAUGAUAGCUUUCCUGAUGAACAAUUAAAUGUCAUAAAUGCUUCUCAUACUGCUCCAUGGUAUGCUGAUUAUGCUAAUUACAUCAUUUCUAAAUUUAUACCACCUAGCUUUACACACCACCAAAAGAAAAGGUUCUUCUAUGAUUUAAGACAUUACUUCUGGGAUGACCCACAUCUUUAUAAAGAAGGAGUAGAUGGUGUUAUUAGACGUUGUGUACCUGAGCAUGAACAGGAACAGAUCCUACGCAAGUGUCACUCCGAAACUUAUGGAGGACACCACGUUGGAGAUAGAACUGCACAAAAGGUAUUGCAAUCCGGUUUUUAUUGGCCUACUCUCUUCAAGGAUGCCCGUAAGUUUUUCUUGUCUUGUGAUGAAUGUCAAAGAAUUGGUAAUAUUAGUAGACGUCAAGAAAUGCCUAUGAAUUAUUCACUUGUUAUUGAACCAUUUGAUGUUUGGGGCUUUGAUUAUAUGGGACCUUUUCCUGCCUCUAAUGGAUACACACAUAUUUUAGUUGCUGUUGAUUACGUUACUAAGUGGGUAGAAGCUAUUCCAACUAGUAGUGCUGAUCAUAACACUUCUAUUAAAAUGCUUAAAGAAGUUAUUUUUUCCAAGGUUUGGAGUCCCUAGAUAUUUAAUGACUGAUGGUGGUUCACAUUUUAUUCAUGGUGCUUUCCGUAAAAUGCUUGCUAAAUAUGAUGUUAAUCAUAGAAUUGCAUCUCCUUAUCACCCACAGUCUAGUGGUCAAGUAGAAUUGAGUAAUAGAGAGCUCAAAUUAAUUUUGCAAAAGACUGUUAAUUGCUCUAGAAAGAACUGGUCCAAGAAACUUGAUGAUGCAUUGUGGGCCUAUAGAACUGCAUAUAAAAAUCCUAUGGGUAUGUCUCCGUAUAAAAUGGUCUAUGGAAACGCAUGUCACUUACCUCUCGAAUUAGAACAUAAGGCUUAUUGGGCUAUUAAAGAACUCAAUUAUGAUUUCAAACUUGCCGGUGAGAAGAGGUUAUUCGACAUUAGCUCACUCGAUGAAUGGAGAACCCAAGCCUACGAGAAUGCCAAAUUAUUUAAAGAAAAAGUUUAAAGAUGGCAUGACAAAAGAAUACAAAAGCGCGAGUUUAAUGUAGGUGAUUAUGUAUUGCUAUACAAUUCUCGUUUAAGAUUUUUAUAGGAAAACUUCUCUCUAAAUGGGAAGGUCCUUACGUUAUUGAGGAGGUCUAUCGUUCCAGUGCCAUAAAAAUCAACAACUUCGAAGGCACAAAUCCAAAGGUGGUGAACGGUCAAAGAAUCAAACACUAUAUCUCAAGUAAUCUUAUAAAUGUUGAAACCAAUGUUAUUGAAACCGUAACCCCAUAGGAAUACAUAAGGGGCACUUUCCGGAACGUUUCAAACUCCGAAAAAGGAAUAGGUAUGUGGUACGGUAAGUAAACCGACUCCAAAAUAGUUCUAAUGGCAAUAUUUCCCCAUUUUGGAAUAUUUAGAAAAAUAGAAAAAUAAGAAGCAGUCCGGGAAGGACACGAGGGUGGAGGGCACGCCCCCUACCUCGUGGGCACCUCGUGUGCUCUCUAGACUCCGUUUUCUUACACGUUACGUAUUUUGGUCGGUAAAAUUCAUUAUAUAAUCUCCCGGAGGUUUUGACUCCCGUAUCACACAAUUACCCUCUGUUUGUGUUUCGAGCUGUUGCUGCUGCAGAUUAGAGCAAGAUGUCUUCGCAAGAGUCAGUCGGGGAGAGCCGGGUGUCUCAUCCGGCACCGAGAUCAAUGACAAACAACAAUGUUGACCACUUUGGGCCAGCAACAGAGGAAGAGAUGGAGGCUGAUUUGAAGAGAAUAGAUGCCAUGGAGGAGGAUCAAGAAGUCACUUCUUGCUUCCGAGCUGGAUUCACAAUGGGGGAACUGCAUAGCUCGGCUAUUCCACACUCGCUUAUCCCUUCCAAUGUUAGAUUUCUUUCUUAUGAGAAUAUGAAAAAGAAUGUCACUGGUUCUCCCGCAUCUAUGCAGCACCCUUGGGUGCAGGGAGCUUUGGCUGUUACAGGAAAGCUUUGAAAGGAGAUAAUGGACCUCAAGCAGCAAGUCAAUAAGCUCGAGGAGGAAAAUCGUAUCCUGAGGGGCAUCAUCGCCAAGAAUAUCACAUCACAAUCCCCGAAAAGAGAGAUAUAAUCACAUGGGUAUGGGCACUCCCCUUGGCAACUGCCAAGCUUGGGGGAGUGCCCCGGUAUCGUAUCACCAUCACUUCUAUCUCUACCAUUUUUCUCAAUUCGAUCCCUUUGAUAAUAUCUUGAUCUAGUAGUAUAAAGCUUUUAGUGUGAUCUAGUUGUGAGUUUUGCUUUAUGAUCCUUCUAUGUAAUCGAGUCCGUGAGCUAUAUAUAAUAAAGAUUAGUGUUGAGUCAAGGGCUUGAUUAUUUUUCCAUGAUCUUGAGUGAAUAAAAUAAAAGAGAAAGAAUAAAAAGAAACAAAGAGAUCAUAUGGAUCUUAUGGAGAGUAAUGAGCUCACAUAUAAAAAGUAUGAUGAAUAAAAGUUGUUGAGAGUUGACAAACAUAGUUUUGGUCAUCGUUGCAAUUAAAAGGAAGUAAUAAAGAAAGAGAGGUCUUCACAUAUAAAUAUAUUAUCUUGGACAUCCUUUAUGAUUGUGAGUACUCAUUGAAAUAUGACAUGCUAAAGAGUUGACGUUGGACAAGGAAGACAACAUAAUGGGUUAUGUUUUCUUACAUCCGAGAUAAAUUAUAUUUUCAUGGAUUAUCCAACAUGAUUGAGCUUGCUUUUCCCCCUCAUGCUAGCCAAAUUCUUUGCACCAAGUAGAGAUACUACUUGCGCUUCCAAACACCCUUAAACCAGUUUUGCCAUGAGAGUCCACCAUACCCACCUAUGGAUUGAGUAAGAUCCUCCAAGUAAGUUGUCAUUGGUGCAAGCAAUAAAAAUUGCUUUCUAAAUAUGUAUGACUUAUUAGUGUGGGAGAAAAUAAGCUUUAUACGAUCGUGUGAUAUGGAAGAAAUAAAAGCGACAGACUGCAUAAUAAAGGUCCAUAUCACAAGUGGCAAUAUAAAGUGACGUUCUUUCGCAUUAAGAUUUUGUGCAUCCAACCAUAAAAGCGCAUGACAACCUCUGCUUCCCUCUACGAAGGGCCUAUCUUUUAAUUUUAUCUCCUACUUUGCAUAAGAGUCAUGGUGAUCUUCACCCUUCCUUUUUACAUUUUAUCUUUUGGCAAGCACAACAUGUUGGAAAGAUCCUGGUAUAUAUGGCUAAUUGGAUGUGAGUUUUCAUGAACUAUUAUUGUUGACAUUACCCUUGAGGUAAAACGUUGGGAGGCAAAACUAUAAGCCCCUAUCUUUCUUUGUGUCCGAUUAAAACUCCAUACCCAUAAGUAUUGCGUGAGUGUUAGCAAUUGUGAAAGACUAUAUGAUAGUUGAGUAUGUGGACUUGCUAAAAAGCUCUUAUAUUGACUCUUUCCUAUGUUAUGGUAAAUUGCAAUUGCUCCAAUGACUGAUAUUAUAGUUUGUUAGUUUUCAAUGAAGUUUAUGAUCCAUACUUGAAAUUGUGAUUGAAUUGUUACUCUAGCAUAAGAGAUCAUAUGACAAGAAUUAUAUAAGUUGAUGUUCAAAGAAUGAUCAUGAUGCCCUCGUGUCCGUAUUUUAUUUUUAUCGACACCUCUAUCUCUAAACAUGUGGAGAUAUUUUUCGAUUUCGGCUUUCGCUUGAGGACAAGCGAGGUCUAAGCUUGGGGGAGUUGAUACAUCCACUUUGCAUCAUGCUUUUAUAUCGAUAUUUAUUGCAUUAUGGGCUGUUAUUACACAUUAUGUCACAAUACUUAUGCCUAUUCUCUCUUAUUUUGCAAGGUUUACAUAAAGAGGGAGAAUGCCGGCAGCUAGGAUUCUGGGCUGGAAAAGGAGCAAAUAUUAGAGACCUAUUCUACACAGCUCCAAAAGCCCUGAAACUUCAUAGAAGUCAUUUUCAGAAUAUAUAAUAAAUAUUGAGCGCAAGAAGUUCACCAGGGGGGCCACACCCUGCCCACGAGGGUGGGGGGCGUGCCCUACCCCCCUGAGCGCGCCCCUACCUCAUGGGCCCCCUGGUGGCCCUUCGAUUUCCAUCUUCUGCUAUAUGGAGUCUUUCGAUGAGGAAAAAAUCAGAAGCCAUCUUUCCGGCAAGACUCCGCCGCCACGAGGCGGAACCUUGGCGGAACCAAUCUAGGGCUCCGACGGAGUUGUUCUGCCGGGGAAACUUCCCUCCGGGAGGGGGAAAUCAUCGCCAUCGUCAUCACCAACGCUCCUCUCAUCGGGAGAGGGCAAUCUCCAUCAACAUCUUCACCAGCACCAUCUCCUCUCCAAACUGUAGUUCAUCUCUUGUAUCCAAUUCUUGUCUCCAAGUCUGGGAUUGGUACCUGUGGGUUGCUAGUAGUGUUAAUUACUCCUUGUAGUUGAUGCUAGUUGGUUUAAUUGGCGGAAGAUCAUAUGUUCAGAUCCUAUAUGCAUAUUAAUACCCCUCUGAUUAUGAACAUGAAUAUGCUUUGUGAGUAGUUACGUUGUUCCUGAGGACAUGGGAGAAGUCUUGCUAUUAGUAGUCAUGUGAAUUUGGUAUUCGUUCGAUAUUUUGAUGAGAUGUAUGUUGUCUCUCCUCUAGUCACUACAAAAAAAGACACAUCCGUGACAUUUUGGGCUGAAUGAAUUUUUUUUCUGUCAUACAUAUGACACUUCUAUGACGAUAAUUGUGACAAAACCCGGUAUCAUCAUAGAUGUGGUGGGCUCCUACUUCUAUGACAAAAAAUCAUGAUAGAAAAUGGGAUUUUCGUCCUGGGCGGGCCGGAGACGCAGCUGCAUGACAUUCUUUGGGCCGUCCAUGACGGAAAAAACCGUGGUAGAAGCGAGGGCGAGGAAAAUUUUGGGGAGUUCCCGGUUACAGUGGGAGGUCGGGGGCCGAGCGAUGCGUGUUUCUCUCGUACACGUACGCGCGUGUGUGCGAGGCGUUGGCUCUAACUGAACCCGAGCGAGGCGUUGGGCUCUAACUGAACCCGAGCGAUUGCACUGCAGGCUAGGCGUUACUAAACCCGAGCGAUCGAUCGAUGGCUGUUAACUGAACCCGAUCGAGCGAUUCCUUCGCUACUGCUGCUAACUGUAGCCGAUCGAUGCUNNNNNNNNNNNNNNNNNNNNNNNNNNNNNNNNNNNNNNNNNNNNNNNNNNNNNNNNNNNNNNNNNNNNNNNNNNNNNNNNNNNNNNNNNNNNNNNNNNNNNNNNNNNNNNNNNNNNNNNNNNNNNNNNNNNNNNNNNNNNNNNNNNNNNNNNNNNNNNNNNNNNNNNNNNNNNNNNNNNNNNNNNNNNNNNNNNNNNNNNNNNNNNNNNNNNNNNNNNNNNNNNNNNNNNNNNNNNNNNNNNNNNNNNNNNNNNNNNNNNNNNNNNNNNNNNNNNNNNNNNNNNNNNNNNNNNNNNNNNNNNNNNNNNNNNNNNNNNNNNNNNNNNNNNNNNNNNNNNNNNNNNNNNNNNNNNNNNNNGAUCAAGCCGGUUGGGGCUGGAUGAACAGGACCUCGUGGAGAGCUGGAUGAACAGGACCACCCCGUGGAGGGCAGGAUGAACAAUAGACGGUGGAGGGCAGGAUGAACAGUAGCCCGUGGAGGGGUGGUUGAAUAGGAGCCCGUGGAGAGGGCUGGUUGAACAGUAGCCGGUGGAGUAGCGCGCUGUGGAGGCUGGAUGAACAGGAGCCCGUGGAUGAACAGUCACAGGUGGAGGCUGGAGGAGGUCGACGGUGGAUGAAUAGUAGCUCGUGGAGGCUGGAGGGGGUCGACGGUGGAGAUGAACAGUAUCCCGUGGAGUCCCGUUUUGCGGUACGCCACACCCCUCCCGAUGAACAGGACCCCUGUUUCGACCGUAGCUCUCCAACACAAGUCCGUUUCGUCCAUUUUGCGGUACGCCACACCCCUCCCGAUCAACAGGACCCCCGUUUCGACCGUAGGAGGUCCGUUUCCUACGUUUUGCGGUAUGCCAGACCCCUCCCGAUCAACAGGAUCCCGUCUUGAACGUGGCCGGUCGAACACAAGGCCGUUUCCUCCGUUCUGUGGUACGCCAGGCCUUGUUUCCAUCGCCUGUUCCAUCCAAGCCCUCUCGAUGAACACGACGCAUUCCGUUGCCUCCCCAUGAACACGACGCAUUCUGUUGCCUCCCCAUGAACACGACGAUGACGCUAUUUCUCCGUUCUGACCCAGCAAUGUACACGAGCCCUCGCCGUACGUAUGCGCGAGUAGGCGUUCGAGACCCUGCCCGUAUGUACACAUACGUGGCCGUAUUUUGUUUCUUGCACCUUGGCCGUUGUACGUACGUGUACAUGCUACGUGUGCGCCUCUACUACGACACGUGCGCGCCUCUACUACGACACGUGCGCGCCUCUACAUCGACCAGUAUGUACGUACACGUUCGCGACCAGAAUGACAACGCUACGUACGCUUCGACCAGGUGGGUCCCGACUGUUAGGGACUUCCUUGCCCGCGAAGAUGUAGCUGAUGGGUCCCAGCAGUCAGGGGGCGAAUCAUUUUUUUUUGCCUGGAUGCACUUCCUUGCGUGCGAAGAUGUAGCUGGUGGGUCCCAGCAGUCAGGGGGAAACGUUUUUUUCGCGAAAUACAGUGGCCCGUCCGAUGGGUCCCAGCUGUCAGGUGGAGGAAUCAUUAUUUUCCGCGUAAUAAGGAGGCACUUCCUUGCUGCGACCGUGGACCCAGCUGCCAGCCUCUCCACGUACAGUCCACGUCCGAUGGAAGUCGUUCCUCGACCACGUUGACCACACCGCGCCGAGAGCACCAGAGCGGUGGACGACGGCGAGGCCUAGGAAGGGGACAACACGAAGGCAGGAAAGACUCGGCAGUUGUUUCCCACACUGAGGGGAGUAUGAUUGUAUGAGGGUUUACUGGUUCGUCUGCCAUCGCCGGAGAAUAACAGCAGGUGUGGGUGAGUAGAGGGAUGGCUAGGGCAGCGAUGAGAGUACGGGCGGGCGGUGAGGCCUGCGCGGCAACACAGCCGGCCGCGAGGAGGAGGGAGCAGGCAGUCCCGCCGGCGCUUGUUUGAGCGGUCGGAGCAGGAAGAGCAGAGAUUGAAGAAGCACGACGGCCGUUGGAUGGACAUCCAACAGUCAGUGCUUGUGCGUCAACCUUUUUUUUAGGAAAGCCUCAAAUCUGUGGAAAACAGCAUACAACCGAUCUACCAUUAUUUCUAAUAAUUUACAGCCCAUUUGCUAAUUUUUAAGGUUUUUUUGGAGCCCAUAUUCUUUUUUUUUAGCAUUACAGCCCAUAUUGUGGCAAUGGUUAAAAAAUUAUACGAAAUUUUGCAUAUUUCGGUGCGGUCCGAACUGUUUUUAAUCCCAAAAUUUCGACUCACAUUCAAACUGAUUUUAAAAAUAAAUGUAUAUCAAUAUAAAAUCCAACAAAUUCUCCACGCAUAAAAAUUAAUGUAAUUUAAAAUCUUGAAAUGAAAAAGAUAUUUGAAACUAAUUGCCGGUUUGAUGUGUUUUAAAAAUGUACAGCCCAUUUCUCAUUACUGAUGGGCCAUUUUCUCGGCCAGCCGAAUGAAAGCUCCUCGUCUUGAAAGAUUUGCAGCCCAACAGGCCUGACAAAGCGACUUACUUGGCAAAUCAAAAAAAACUGUGCUGUGGCCGUGGACCAAGCUGUCAGCCUCUCCACGUACAGUACUCUUCCGAUGGAAGUUGUUCCUUGACCACGUUGACCACGCCGCGCGGAGAGCACCACGGCGGUGGACGACGGCGAGGCCUAGGAAGGGGACGACGCGGCAGUGGAAGCCCGCGCGGAGAGGACUACGAGGGUUCACUGGUUCGGCUGCGGUGUGAGGCUGCCGUCGCCGCAGGGCCUAGCCAGCGGUGGGAAUAGUAGGGGGCGGUGAGGCCUCUGCGGCAGCACAGCCGGCCACGGGAGGCAGGAGCAUGUGGCACGACCGGCGCUGCUUUGGGCGGCUGGAGCAAGAAGACCAGAGGUUGAAGAAGCACUACGGCCGUUGGAUGGACAUCGUACGGUCACUGGAGCUAGAAUCGUUCAUAUUGACUAAGUUGACAAAGCCCUUCGUCCCCGUCAACUUAGUAGGCCCACAAGUCAGCCUCCCAGCAAGGUGGGUCCCAGCUAGCCGGGGGAGUAUUCAUUUUUUGUGCGUAAUAAGGAGGCACUUCCGGUGGGUCUGAGCUAACAGCGGGGGGAACGUUUUUUUCGCGAAAUACGGUGGCCCGUCCGGUGGGUCCCAACAGUCAGGGGGAAAUGAUUUUUUUCGCAAAAUACUGGUGGCCCGUCCGGUGGGUCCCUGCUGUCAGGUGGAGGAAUCAUUAUUUUCUGCGUAAUAAGGAGGCACUUCCUUGCUGCCGUCGUGGACCCAGCUGUCAACUUCUCCACAUACAGUCCACGUCCGAUGGAAUUCAUUCCUUCCACGUUGACCACGCCACGCCGAGAGCACCAGGGCGGUGGAUGACGACGAGGCCUAGGAAGGGGACGACGCGGAGCCGGUGAAGACGCGGCAGUGGAUGCCCACGCGGAGAGGAGUAUGAGGGUUCACUCGUUCGGCUGCGGUGUGAGGCUGCCGUCGCCGUAGGGCCUGGCCAGCGGUGGGAAUAGUAGGGGGCGGUGAGGCCUCCACGGUAGCACAGUCGGCCACGAGAGGCAGGAGCAGGCGGCAUGACCGGCACUGCUUUGGGCGGCUGGAGCAAGAAGACCAGAGGUUGAAGAAGCACUACGGCCGUUGGAUGGACAUUGUACGGUCACUGCAGCUAGAAUCGUUUAUAUUGACUAAGUUGACAAAGCCCUUGGUACGUCAACUUAGUAGGCCCACAGGUCAGCUUCCGAAACGGUGCGCCCCAGAUGUCAGGGGGAGGGAUCAUUUUUUGGGCGGGUGAAGGUAGAAUAUCCGAGAUUGAAGAAGAAGCACAACAUCCGUUGGAUGGACAUCCAACGGCCACUGCUGCUAGAACCGUGUGUUGACUAUAAGUUGACAAAGCCUUGCAUACGCGUCAACUCUGUUUUUUUAGGGGACGCAUCAACUUAGUAAGGCUAGAAGUGUGUGGCAGAGAACUUAUAGCCCAUUUGAGAUUUGUAAGAAUGUGUAGCCCAUUUUUGAAUUCUAAUGGAAUUUACUACAGCCCAUUUACAGUUUGUUAAAAGUACAACCCAUUUCAACCAACCGUUCAAAACAGAAUUCAAUAAAAUUUCCCACAUUUUGAUGGGAUCCGAAAUAUUUUUAUCCCAAAAUUUCUAGUCAGAUUAAAUACAAUUUCAAUAUAAAUUUAUAUUACGUAAAAAUCCAAUGAAACAUUGCGCUCGCAACAAUUAAUGAAAUUAAAUUUUUCAAUAUCCAAAAAUAAUAUUUUAUAAAGUAAUCAGGUGUUUGGUGCAUUUUUUUAUAGUUACUGCCCAAUUUUUAUAAAUAUAUCCCAUUUAUUAUUUCUUAAAGCCCAUUUUUUUGUUAAGCCUAAUGCAUCCCUCCUAGGAAAGAUUUGCAGCCUAGCGGGGCGGAGAAUAACAACUUGACCUUGCCUGGGUAUUCCUAAAAAAGUAUAGCUGGGCUAGCCAUUUUCAGCUUGAAAAAAAUUAAUAUCUGGGCUGGAUAUCUGGCCUGGGCUAGACGGGUAACAGCCCGCCCAGUUAAUACCUGCAGCGAUGUUUUUGUUGUUGUUUAGAGGAGAAAAAUUAAUAUCUGGGCUAAACAUCGAAAAACUCUGCAGUGCUCACACCUCAAAAACACAAAUACUGCUCGAGCUGCUUGGUCCCAGCCGUCGGCCGUUUCUUGUGCAAUUCUCUUGUUUAUUGACUAGUACUACAUAGGUUGACAAUGGUGUGGGACCGUGAUGUCAGGAAACCAGGGGGAAGCAAAAUAAAUAACUCCAGCGAGCGCUUCCACCUCUGCCUCGUUGUCUCCCGUGGAAACCCCUUUCCUCCCUUUUUUGCUCGAGCAAGGACCAAUGCAUGCAGCACGUCCAUGCAGUUAUUAGGCAAGAAAUAAAAGCGCUUUGCAUGCUAUGAAUUACGAUGGCCUGCAUGGGUAGCUAAUAAGGCAUCCUCUUAACUGUUGUGAUUAAAUGUUGUGUUUAGAAGAGAGAAAUAUUCUUCUUUUCCACCAAUCUGCUUGCACCUAGGUCGUGAUGCACCUUCUAAUAUGACUUAUUCACCUAGACGGAGGGAGUAUAGUUUUAUACAUACAUACAUACAUACAUACAUAUAUAUAUAUAUAUAUAAUAAGGAGGCACUUGCGUACGCGAGGCUAUGGACCUGGUGGGUCCCCAUUGUCAUCCUCUCCAAGUAAAGUCAUCUCCUCGCCCGCGCGCGCUUUCCGCCCGAAACAGUCAGCUCCGCCCGCCCCGCUUCCCGGUGCAGGCGAUUGCUCCUCCUUCAAACGACACAAGUGUUGUCCGUCCGUCCAUCUGCCGCCCACAUUAAUGAUACGCGGUUGCCGAGGUGGCUACUCCGGCGCCACACGUCCGUCCCUCCGCCCGCCCAUCAUUGCUAUAUAAACUGCUGUGCCGGCCAUAGCCCCAGUCAUCCGCAUCCGUUCCCUUUCUCCUGUCCACACCACUACUGCCCACCAUGGUUUCCUCGCACUCCAGCGCUCUUUGGAACGGGCGGGCGACGGACCACAAGGAGAUGGUAGCCAUUGCUGCCGACCGGCUGGCCGGCAGGCAGCCGGAGGAUGACGACGUCCCAAUGGAGAACAUGGUAGUCGAUGAUCCGGCGCCAACCCCCUCCUCCGCGCCAUCCUCGCCAGUGCAUUGCACCAUGACCAUCGGCGAGGCCCGUGCCCAAUAUAUGUACAGUGUGAGGCAGAUGCGUUAGGAGUAGUUCCGGGAGGCGCAGGCCGACGCCGCCUACAACCACCAUCUCCUCCAGGAGCAUCUGCAGGCGGAGGAGCAGAUCGCCGCGGAGCGGGCGGAGCAGGAGGCGCUGCUCGACUCGUACCGCUCCACCCGCAAGGGCCGCCUUGAGCGCUGGCGGGAGCGCAUGCGGGUGGCAGAGGCUGCGGCCACCUACAAAGAGGCUAGCAAAGAGGGCAAUGAAGCGGGUGAGGCGCUGUUUGGCGAGACCGAGGACGAGGCAGAGGACAAUGUCGGCUCCAACGAGUCCCCGCUCCGCUGGCGUCAACGAGGCCCUGCUCCGCCGAGGCCCCACGGCACCACCAACGAGGCAGAGGACACUGCCGGCUCCGCCGAGGCGCCGCCCCGCCAACAACGAGGUAGAGGACAUCGCCGGCUCAGCCGAGGCCCCACCUGCCGGCAACGCGGGGGAGGAUUUCCAUCGCUCCGCUGAGGCGCCGCCCGCCGGCAACGAGACAGAGGACAUCGCCGGCUCCGCCGAGGUCCCUCCCCGCUGCCAACGAGGCCGCGCCACACAGAAAACGAGGAAGAGUAGAACACGGUAGGUCGCCGCCGCUCGGGUCCAAGUAAGGCCACCGCUGCUACCCUCCUGUUGAAGCCAAGCUAGGCGGGUUGACCAUUGACGGCCGGUUAGCUUCUUGGCGGCGAUGUGGAGUCGGCGAGUUCUGCUGGAGAAUAACGCUGCUUCUACUUAACUGCUGGUGCAGUUGGCUGACUGACACGUGGGCCCAACAGGCCACAUGUCAGUUACGCAACUGCAUGCUACGUCUUGAGCUUGCGUUGGUUUUCCCCGAAGAGGAAGGGAUGAUGUAGCAGAGUAGCGUAAGUAUUUCCCUCAGUUUUUGAGAACCAAGGUAUCAAUCCAGUAGGAGGCCACGCUCAAGUCCCUUGUACCUGCACAAAACGAUAGCUACUCGCAACCAACGUGAUUAGGGGUUGUCAAGCCCUUCACGGUCACUUACGAGAGUGAGAUCUGAUAGAUAAAAUAUUUUUGGUAUUUUUGGUAUAAAGAUGCAAAGUAAAAAGUAAAAGCUAAGUAAAUAGCAAAACAAUAUAAAAGUGAUGGAGAUUGAUAUGAUGAGAAUAGACCCGGGGGGGGCAUAGGUUUCACUAGUGGCUUCUCUCAAGAGCAUAAGUAUUCUACGGUGGGUGAACAAAUUACUGUUGAGAAAUUGAUAGAAUUGAGCAUAAUUAUGAGAAUAUCUAGGCAUGAUCAUGUAUAUAGGCAUCUCGUCCGUGACAAGUAGACUGAAACAAUUCUGCAUCUACUACUAUUACUCCACUCAUCGACUGCUAUCCAGCAUGCAUCCAGAGUAUUAAGUUAAAAACAGAGUAACGCCUUAAGCAAGAUGACAUGAUGUAGAGAGAUAAAUUCAUGCAAUAUGAAAUAAACCCCAUCUUGUUAUCCUGGAUGGCAACGAUGCAAUACGUGCCUUGCUGCCCCUUCUAUCACUGGGUAAGGACACCACAAGAUCGAACCCAAAGCUAAGCACUUCUCCCAUGGCAAGAACUACCAAUCUAGUUGGCCAAACCAAACGGAUAAUUCGAAGAGACUUGCAAAGAUAACCAAUCAUGCAUAAAAGAAUUCAGAGAAGAUUCAAAUAUUAUUCAUAGAUAGACUUGAUCAUAAACCCACAAUUCAUCGAUCUCAACAAACACACCGCAAAAAGAAGAUUAAAUCGAAUAGAUCUCCACGAGAGAGGGGGAGAACUUUGUAUUGGGAUUCAAAGAGAGAGAAGAAGCCAUCCAACUACUAACUAUGGACCCGAGGGUCUGAGGUAAACUACUCACACUUCAUCGGAGGGGUUAUGGUGAUGUAGAAGCCCUCCGUGAUGACAGCCCUCUUCCGGCGGAUCUUCAGAAUAGGCCCCAAGAUGGGAUCUCGUGGAUACAGAAAGUUGCGGCGGUGGAUUAGGUUUUUGGCUCCCGUUCUGAUCGUUUGGGGGUACGUGUGUAUAUAUAGGAGGAAGGAGUACGUCGGUGGAGCAACGAGGGGCCCACGAGGCAGGGGGCGCGCCCUAGGGGGGCGCCCCCACCCUCGUGACCGCCUCUUUUGUUCCUUAGAGCAGGGUCCAAGUCUCCCGGAUCACGUUCGGUGAGAAAUUCACGUUCCCGAAGAUUUUAUUCCGUUUGGACUCCGUUUGAUAUUCCGUUUCUUCGAAACACUGAAAUAGGCAAAAAAACAGCAAUUCUGGAUUGGGCUUUCGGUUAAUAGGUUAGUCCCAAAAAUAAUAUAAAAGUGGAAAAUAAAGCCCAAUAUAGUCCAAAACAGUAGAUAAUAUAGCAUGGAGCAAUCAAAAAUUAUAGAUACGUUGGAGACGUAUCAGGCAUCCCCAAGCUUAAUUCCUGCUCGUCCUCGAGUAGGUAAAUGAUAAAAAGAGAAUUUUUGAUGCGGAGUGCUACUUGGCAUAAUUUCAAUGCAAAUCUUCUUAAUUGUGGUAUGAAUAUUCAGAUUAGAAAGAUUCAAGACAAAGGUUUAUAUUGACAUAAGAAAUAAUAAUACUUCAAGCAUACUAACAAAGCAAUUAUGUCUUCUCAAAAUAACAUGGCCAAAGAAAGUUAUCCCUACAAAAUCAUAUAGUCUGGCUAUGCUCCAUCUUCCCCACACAAAGUAUUUAAAUCAUGCACAACCCCGAUGACAAGCCAAGCAAUUGUUUCAUACUCUAACUUUUUCAAAACUUUUUCAAUCUUCACACAAUACAUGAGUGUGAGCCAUGGACAUAGCACUAUGGGUGGAAUAGAAUGGUGGUUGUGGAGAAGACAAAAAAGGAGAAGAUAGUCUCACAUCAACUAGGCGUAUCAACGGGUUAUGGAGAUGCCCAUCAAUAGAUAUCAAUGUGAGUGAGUAGGGAUUGCCAUGCAACGGAUGCACUAGAGCUAUAAGUAUAUGAAAGCUCAAAAAGAAACUAAGUGGGUGUGCAUCCAACUUGCUUGCUCAUGAAGACCUAGGGCAAUUUGAGGAAGCCCAUCAUUGGAAUAUACAAGCAAGUUCUAUAAUGUAAAAUUCCCACUAGUAUAUGAAAGUGAUAACAUGAGAGACUCUCUACUAUGAAGAUCAUGGUGCUACUUUGAAGCACAAGUGUGGUAAAAGGGUAGUAACAUUGUCCCUUCUCUCUUUUUCUCUCAUUUUUUUAUUUGGGCUUCUUUGGCCUCUUUUUUUCGUUCGGAGUCUCAUCCCGACUUGUGGGGGAAUCAUAGUCUCCAUCAUUCUUUCCUCACUGGGACAAUGCUCUAAUAAUGAUGGUCAUCACACUUUUAUUUUUCUUACAACUCAACAAUUACAACUCGAUACUUAGAACAAGAUAUGACUCUAUAUGAAUGCCUCCGGCGGUGUACCGGGAUAUGCAAUGAAUCAAGAGUGACAAGUAUGAAAAUUAUGAACGGUGGCUUUGCCACAAAUACUAUGUCAACUACAUGACCAUGCUAAGCAAUAUGACAAUGAUGGAUGUGUCAUGAUGAACUAGAUGAUGGAAAGUUGCAUGGCAAUAUAUCUCGGAAUGGCUAUGGAAAUGCCAUAAUAGGUAGGUAUGGUGGCUGUUUUGAGGAAGGUAUAUGGUAGGUGUAUGAUACCGGCGAAAGGUGCGCGGUAUUAGAGAGGCUAGCAAAGGUGGAAGGGUGAGAGUGCAUAUGAUCCAUGGACUCAACAUUAGUCAUAAAGAACUCAUAUACUUAUUGCAAAAAUCUAGAAGUUAUCAAAGCAAAGUACUACACGCAUGCUCCUAGGGGGAUAGAUUGGUAGGAAAAGACCAUCGCUCGUCCCCGACCGCCACUCAUAAGGAAGACAAUCAAUAAAUAAAUCAUGCUCCGACUUCAUCACACAACGGUUCACCAUACGUGCAUGCUACGGGAAUCACAAACUUCAACACAAGUAUUCUUUAAAUUCACAACUACUCAACUAGCAUGACUUUAAUAUUAUCACCUCCAUAUCUCAAAACAAUUAUCAUGCUUCAAUCUUUUCUUAGUAUUCAACACACUCAAAAGAAAGUUUCACUAAUCUAGAAUACCAAGCAUAUUAUUAUUAAGCAAAUUACCAUGCUAUUAAAAGACUCUUAAAAUAAUUUAAGUGAAGCAUGAGAGAUCAAUAGUUUCUUUAAAACAAAUCCACCACCGUGCUCUAAAAGAUCUAAGUGAAGCACAUAGAGAAAAAUUACUUAGCUUAAAAGACAUAAGUGAAGCACAUAGAGCAAAAUUAUUACGCUCAAAAGAUAUAAGUGAAGCACAUAGAGUAUUCUAUCAAAUUUUAAUUCAUGUAUGGCUCUCUCAAAAGGUGUGUACAGCAAGGAUGAUUGUGGCAUACUAACAAACAAAUACACAAAUAAUACAAGACGCUCCAAGCAAAACACAUAUCAUGUUGGUGAAUAAAAAUAUAGCUCCAAGUAAAGUUACCGAUGGAAGUGGACGAAAAGAGGGGAUGCCUUCCGAGGCAUCCCCAAGCUUUGACUUUUUGGUGUCCUUGGAUUAUCUUGGGGGUGCCAUGGGCAUCCCCAAGCUUAGGCUCUUGACACUCCUUGUUCCAUAAUCCAUCAAAUUCUUACCCAAAACUUGAAAACUUCACAACACAAAACUCAAAAUAGAAAACUCGUGAGCUCUGUUAGCGAAAGAAAACAAAAGACCACUUCAAGGUACUAUAAUGAACUCACUCUUUAUUUAUAUUGGUGUUAAACCUACUGUAUUCCAACUUCUCUAUGGAUUAUAAACUAUUUUACUAGCCAUAGAUUCAUCAAAAUAAGCAAACAACACACGAAAAACAGAAUCUGACAAAAACAGAACAGUCUGUAGUAAUCUGUAGCUAGCACAAGAUCUAGAACCCCAAAAAUUCUAAAAUAAAUUGCUGGACGUGAGUAAUUUAUAUAUUAAUCAUAUGCAAAAAUAAUUAACUAAAUAGCCUCUUCAAAUAAAAAUGGCAUCAGUUCUCGUGAGCGCUAAAGUUUCUGUUUUUUAUAGCAAGUUCAACAAGACUUUCCCCAAGUCUUCCCAACGGUUCUACUUGGCACAAACACUAAUUAAACACAAAAAACACAACCAAAACAGAUGCUAGAUAAUUUAUUUAUUACUAAACAGGAGCAAAUAGCAAGGAAUAAAAAUAAAAUUGGGUUGCCUCCCAACAAGCGCUAUCGUUUAACGCCCCUAGCUAGGCAUAACGAGCAAGAAUAGAUCUAGGUAUUGUCAUCUUUGGUAGGCAAUCCAUAAGUGGCUCUCAUGAUAGUUUCAUAUGGUAAUUUUAUUUUCUUUCUUGGAAAGUGUUCCAUGCCCUUUUUUAAUGGAAAUUGAAAUCUAAUAUUCCCUUCCUUCAUAUCAAUAAUCGCACCAACCGUUCUAUGGAAAGGUCUACCAAGAAUAAUAGGGCAAGAAGGAUUGCAAUCUAUAUCAAGAACAAUGAAAUCUACGGGCACAUAAUUCCUAUUUGCAACAAUAAGAACAUCAUUAAUUCUUCCCAUAUGUUUCUUAAGGAAUCCGCAAGAUGCAAGUUUAGAGAGCAAUCAUCAAAAUUACGGAAAUUUAGUAAAUCACAUAAAGUCUUGGGAAUAGUAGAGACACUAGCACCCAAAUCACACAAAGCAUAAAACUCAUGAUCUUUAAUUUUAAUUUAAUAGUCGGUUCCCACUCAUCAUAGAGUUUUCUAGGGAUAGAAACUUUCAACUCAAGUUUUUCUUCAUAAGAUUGCAUCAAGGCAUCAACAAUAUGUUCGGCGAUGGCUUUAUUUCGACUAUAAGCAUGUGGAGAAUUUAGCACGGAUUGCAACAAGGAAAUACAAUCAAUUAAAGAGCAACUUUCAUAAUUAAAUUCCUUGAAAUCCAAUAUAGUGGGUUUAGCAACAUCUAGAUUUUUAUUUCUUUCAAUCCCACUUUCGUCAAUUUCAUCAUUAAGAUCUAAAUACUCCGAAUUUUUAGAAUGCCUUCUAGGUAAAGGAAGAUCAUAUUCAGUUUCAUCAAGAUUCAUAUUGCAAAAUAAAGAUUUAAUUGGAGACACAUCAAUAACUUUUAGAUCUUCAUCUUGAUUUUCAUAGGAAUUGGAAGAACACGCUUUAAUAAAGGCCUCUUUGGAAGCACGCAUCCUAGCGGUUCUUUCUUUACACUCAUCAAUUGAAAUUCUCAUGGCUUUAAGAGACUCAUUGAUAUCAUGCUUAGGUGGAAUAGAUCUAAGUUUCAAAGCGUCAACAUCAAGAGCAAUUCUAUCAACGUUCCUAGUCAAAUCAUCAAUCUUAAGCAAUUUUUCUUCAAUCAUAGCAUUAAAAUUCUUUUGUGAAGAAAUAAAUUCUUUAAUAUUAGAUUCAAAAUCAUAGGGCAUCUUAUUAUAAUUUCCAUAAGAGUUGUUGUAGGAAUUCCCAUAAUUAUUAGAAGGAUUACUAGGAUAUGGCCUAGGAUUAAAAUUCCCUCUAUAAGCGUUGUUACCAAAAUUAUUCCUACCAACAAAAUUCACAUCCAUAGAUUCAUUGUUAUUCUCAAUCAAAGUAGACAAAGGCAUAUCAUUUGGAUCAGAAGUAACACUCUUAGUAGCAAAUAAUUUCAUAAGUUCAUCCAUCUUUCCACUCAACACAUUAAUUUCUUCUAUCGCAUGCACUUUUUUAUUAGAUGAUCUUUCAGUGUGCCAUUGAGAAUAAUUAACCAUAAUAUUAUCUAGGAGUUCAGUAGCAUCUCCUAAAGUGAUUUCCAUAAAAGUACCUCCCGCGGCCGCUAAAAGAUUUCUAGAAGCAAAAUUCAAUCUGGCAUAAAAAUUCUGUAUGAUCAUCCACAAAUUCAAACCAUGUGUAGGGCAAUUACGUAUCAUUAAUUUCAUUCUCUCCCAAGCUUGUGCAACAUGUUCAUGAUCAAGUUGUUUAAAGUUCAUAAUAUCGUUUCUAAGAGAGCUGAUCUUAGCAGGAGGAAAAUACUUAGAGAUAAAAGCAUCUUUGCACUUGUUCCAUGAAUCAAUACUAUUCUUAGGCAAAGACGAAAACCAAGCUUUAGCACGAUCUCUAAGCGAAAAAGGAAAUAGCUUCAAUUUAACGACAUCAUUAUUGACAUCUUUUUUCUUUUGCAUAUCAUAUAAAUCAAUGAAGCUAUUCAGAUGAGUAGCGGCAUCUUCACUAGGAAGGCCGGCGAAUUGAUCUUUCAUAACAGGAUUCAACAAAGCAGUAUUAAUUUUACAAGAUUCAGCAUCGGUAAGAGGAGCAAUCGGAGUGCUAAGGAAAUCAUUAUUAUUGGUAUUGGUGAAGUCACACAAUUUGGUAGUAUCUUGAGCCAUCGCGACAAACAAGCAAUCUGACACAUGAGCAAACAAGAGCAAAUGGGCAAAAGAGGCAAACAGAGAGGGAGGAUAGAGAGAGAGGGCGAAUAAAACGGCAAGGGUGAAUUGGGGGGGGGAGAGGAAAACGAGAGGCAAAUGGCAAAUAAUGUAAUGCGAGAGAUAAGGAUUGUGAUGGGUACUUGGUAUGUUGACUUUUGCGCAGACUCCCCGGCAACGGUGCCAGAAAUCCUUCUUGCUACGUCUUGAGCUUGCGUUGGUUUUCCCCGAAGAGGAAGGGAUGAUGCAGCUGAGUAGCGUAAGUAUUUCCCUCAGUUUUUGAGAACCAAAGCAUCAAUCCAGUAGGAGGCCACGCUCAAGUCCCUCGUACCUGCACAAAACGAUAGCUACUCGCAACCAACACGAUUAGGGGUUGUCAAGCCCUUCACGGUCACUUACGAGAGUGAGAUCUGAUAGAUAAAAUAUUUUUGGUAUUUUUGGUAUAAAGAUGCAAAGUAAAAUGUAAAAGCAAAGUAAAUAGCAAAACAAUAUAAAAGUGAUGGAGAUUGAUAUGAUGAGAAUAGACCGGGGGGCCAUAGGUUUCACUAGUGGCUUCUCUCAAGAGCAUAAGUAUUCUACGGUGGGUGAACAAAUUACUGUUGAGCAAUUGAUAGAAUUGAGCAUAAUUAUGAGAAUAUCUAGGCAUGAUCAUGUAUAUAGGCAUCACGUCCGUGACAAGUAGACCGAAACGAUUUUGCAUCUACUACUAUUACUCCACUCAUCGACCGCUAUCCAGCAUGCAUCUAGAGUAUUAAGUUAAAAUCAGAGUAACGCCUUAAGCAAGAUGACAUGAUGUAGAGAGAUAAAUUCAUGUAAUAUGAAAUAAACCCCAUCUUGUUAUCCUCGAUGGCAACGAUGAAAUACGUGCCUUGUUGCCCCUUCUGUCACUGGGUAAGGACACCGCAAGAUCGAACCCAAAGCUAAGCACUUCUCCCAUGGCAAGAACUACCAAUCUAGUUGGCCAAACCAAACGGAUAAUUCGAAGAGACUUGCAAAGAUAACCAAUCAUGCAUAAAAGAAUUCAGAGAAGAUUCAAAUAUUAUUCAUAGAUAGACUUGAUCAUAAACCCACAAUUCAUCAGUAUCAACAAACACACCGCAAAAACAAGAUUACAUCGUAUAGAUAUCCACGAGAGAGGGGGAGAACUUUGUAUUGAGAUUCAAAGAGAGAGAAGAAGCCAUCCAGCUACUAACUAUGGACCCGAAGGUCUGAGGUAAACUACUCACACUUCAUCAGAGGGGCUAUGGUGAUGUAGAAGCCCUCCGUGAUGACGGCCCUCUUUCGGCGGAGCUCCGAAACAUGCCCCAAGAUGGGAUCUCGUGGAUACAGAAAGUUGCAGCGGUGGAAUUAGGUUUUUGGCUCCUGUUCUGAUUGUUUGGGGGUACGUGUGUAUAUAUAGGAGGAAUGAGUACGUCGGUGGAGCAAUGAGGGGCCCACGAGGCAGGGGGCGCGCCCUAGGGGGGGCACGCUCGUGACCGCCUCUUUAUUUCCUUGGAGCAGGGUCCAAGUCUCCCGGAUCACGUUCGGUGAGAAAAUCAUGUUCCCGAAGAUUUUAUUCCGUUUGGACUCCGUUUGAUAUUUCGUUUCUUCGAAACACUGAAAUAGGCAAAAAAAACAACAAUUCUGGGCUGGGCCUCCGGUUAAUAGGUUAGUCCCAAAAAUAAUAUAAAAGUGCAAAAUAAAGCCCAAUAUAGUCCAAAACAGUAGAUAAUAUAGCAUGGAGCAAUCAAAAAUUAUUGAUACGUUGGAGACGUAUCACUGCACCUGUAGUUAAGUCACUGAAGCUUCUGUUCGGCUCAGCAGGGCACAGGUGGGUAGCUUCGGUUAGUUAAUUAUACCUCCAGUGCACCCCUUUUUAGUUGAAGAAUGUAUGAAAUGUAAUGAAAUCUGGCAUGUUUAUAUGAAAUCCGACCGUGUAUGAAUGAAUUUAUUUCGAUUAGUUUGAAUUCCUGUAUCACUGGCAUUGGAUGAACAUGCAAAACAAUAUGUACUAGCAUUAUUCCCAGGGUGAUCACCUCGUUUGCAGCAGUUUCACAUGUACUCCCUCCGGUCCUUUCUAGUCUGCAUACAAGUUUUGUCUGUAGUCAAAGUAUCUCUACUUUGACCAAUCUUAUACAAAAAAGUAUGCACUUUCACAAUGUGCGAAGUAAAAAGGAACAGAAGGAGUACAAAGAGUUUGAGCGGGUUUUUAGCAUUUCUGUACAUUGCAACCAAACACACAGGCCUGGCAAUUCAUAGAGAACAUUCAAAGCAAUCGAUGAUUAUGCAUCUCAGCGACUCACAUGUCAGAGGCAAUAUUUAUUUCACAACUAAAGAAUAAAGAAAAAAUUGAUCGACGCUGCUGACAGCAAGGGCGUCCCAUUCGAAAAUAUCAAAUGCAUGUCUUGCUAAAAUCAAUGAGCAAAAUUUGACAAGGUUGUCCCAUCCCAAAAUAUCAAAUGCCUACGAUUGUGGAAUAGGCAGGGUUUGCCAUCAGUUCGGACAUUGAGAUGGCACCUCGUGCUAAAUAAACCAGCUGUUCUUUUUGUGCAGUUCCACCAAAAUCAACCAAAUUCGCGCGUAGCUUGUAUGAUUUCGCCCUUAUAUGUUGCAACGCCUUGAACUUAUCGACACCUCCUUUCUUGUGGUGGAAAUGAAUGAUUCGAUGUAUUCAUGAACAUUUUGUGCAGUUCCCAUUGAAAUGAAGCUGAGCACCCCUGUUUGCACAAAUAAAAAAAGUGAUUAGUAUAGAGCAAACUGUACUAUGAAUUGACAGUUUCAACAGGCACAUACAUGGUCCAUGUAGAGCACACUUUUAGAAAAUUGGAACUCACCAGAAAGAAUCCUAGAACAACAUUGUACUCGCGCAUCACAGCAAAAAAUGGAGAUUUUGUCAGGCCUUCUAAGCUGAAGUUAGUUUGGUCUUGUGGGGAGUAAUGUAACCAUCCUUCAACUGCUCCUUCUGCUGAUAAGAUAGAUAGGGCUUCUUCAUCCUGGCAUAAUCAGAACUAGUCACUUCACGUACUCCAUAUUCUUCUUCAGAGGAAGAUGAUCCUGUUGUGCAAAGACAAGAGGACUACUAAAUGCUAGCAUCACUGUUUGCUCGAAAAAAAGGAAAGGAAAUAUUUAAAACAACACAGAUGAAGCACUUCUCAAGGACAAUACCACUUUUUCAUGACAGCACCGGGAGUUGAUUUUUGUUUUUCUUCCCCUUGUUCUUCCCCUUCAUCACUUGCUUCAGUAACAAACAAGCUUCGCCUUCAAUGUAAGAUUUGGCAUGUCAAUUAGGGAGCACAAGUAUAGUACUAAACUUAAUUUUCUGAUGAAAGUGGCAAAAUACAGGCCAUCAGUUGUGAAAUAUCCUUAUCAUACCUCAAUGGGAUAUUACGGUGCACAUACAGAUUAGAAGUCUUGUCUCCAUUUGUGCAGUUCACUAAAAUCAAGCAACAUUAUCGUACAAGUAGCACAACAUAUGAAUGCACACUGCAAAAUCAUGUGAAAGAAGGCUAGUACUGACCUCUCAUGAUGCGGAAUUCAAACAACUCACAAGAAGAAGAUCUGAACCAAAUUCACCUUAACGGAUAGGAAGUAAGAUCUCCUCUUGUGCAGUUCCACUAAGAUCAAACAAUCAAGCAACAUUGUCGGUGUGACAUUUUGGUUGAACUGCACAAAACACUCUUAAAACAGAAGUGUUUUAUGCAGUGCAACAAAAGGUCACAAUGGCAACGAGGUGAAGUAGAUAACCCUGUUUACACAGAGGUGCAAAGGAAACAAUUAGUGGUCAAUAACGAUGGAUGACACAGAAGCCAACAAAAAGAAGCAUCUAUCUUAUCUAAAUGGGAAAGAAAGCAAGACAGUAGCAUUUCUCAAACGGUGGCAUUGAUUAAUAUUAACAUAGAGAUUAUAUUAACAAUAAAAUUCAUUAAACAUGUAAUUUGCUUUUAACUGUGGCAUUGCAUCAAUUUUCCAGCGGCAUUAUUAUAGGAUGUUUGUUUACAGGGACAUUUUGGUGUAGGGACUAAAAAAACUCCGUGUCAGUCCCAUCUAAACCAAAGAGGAGGGACUUUUAGGGACUAAAAGUGGGCAUUUGGGACUAAAGAAAUAAGACCCCGAAGGAGUCUUUUUGGGACUUUUUCCAACAGUUGGCCCUGCCACGCAUCGCACCUUGUCUCUAUUAGUUCAUUACUAGGGGUAACAUGGUCUUUUAGCAUGUCAUUUAAUAACCUCUAGUCCAUGUUUAGUCCCUGGAACCUAGCAGGUAGGGACUAGGGAGUUUUUAAGCAAACAGGGCCUUAGAUUAACAACAACUAAUGAGUUGCACGGGACAGUGGACGCACCAGCACCAUGUGCAUCUACCGAUGUACUGUGGUCAUGCACAGUCUGUUGCAACAAAGAACAAGCAACCAAGGAGCAUAUUUGUGUUGGUCCCGGUUUUGUUAUCUUUAGACGCCUUUCCCUAUGUGAGCGCAGAAAAUCUAAUCCUGCUCAAACUCUAUAGCCUUGUCCCUUCCUUUCCUUUUUGAACUAGUACUUUUGCCCCUUCCUUUCCUCUUUGAACCACGUCCUAGAUUUAUGCGAUACAACUUUCCCCCAUUCCUUUCCUCUUUGAACCACGUCCUAGAUUAAUGCUAUACAACUUUUCCCCUUCAUUUCCUCUUUGAACCACGUCCUAAAUUCAUGCUAUAUACAACUUUUCCCACUACUUUCCCCCACUCCUUUCCUCUUUGAACCACGUCCUAGAUUCAUGGUAUACAUGCAGCUAGAGCAAUGCAUGUGGAGUAAGUAAAUUAUACCUUAAGGUUCUUGGGGCGUUGUUCGGUGGGCGGCGGGACGACGGCGAAGAAGAAGGGGUCGGAGGCCCUCCCGCGCCGCCGCUGGGUGGAAAGUGAACAGCUGCACCGGUAGUCCCUCGCCAACGGCGACAGCGUUAAGCCUCCUUCCCUUCCCGGCGGACGGAUCCUGCCGGCUCUUUGAGCAGCAGUGAGGGGAGAGAGAGGCCAACAAAGUCUUGUUUAGAUCUGGAGAGGGCGAGAGAGUGUGAAGAGAGAAACUACAAGCGCUGAGGCUCCAGCAGGAGAGGGCGAGAGAGUGAGCGGACAGGCUAACCAGCUACACAGCCCUCCCGUUAUGUUCAAUGAGAGGGAAAUAACCUUUUAUACAUUCCUGCAUUCGUGUGACAAGCAUGCCGUGUUUUUUUGUGUGUGUGGGAGUCAUUGGGAUUUCAAUCAUAAUCGUGUCAUGUGGCUUUGGUGGUAAGACUAUCCACAGUGGUGCAGAAAUAAUGCAGCCUUAGUCACCUUACCUCUCUCCACGUAGUACGUUGGGUCCCACCAGUCAGAGGGUGAAACAAACAAAUUAAUAAGAAAAAUUAAAAGCACUAGCGGUGUAUCUUACCUCACACAUCUCGCUACUGCUCGGGAACACUGUCCAAUUGAUCCCUCUGUUCGCUCACGUACUAUUUUAAGUGAAUCCUUAUUAUAGCAUGCACACAAAUUUUGGCCACUUGUAUUCGACUUAAGUCAGUGUGCCACCGUAUCUCGUAUACUUACUACUUCCUCCAUCUAGGUGUAAUAAGUCACGUUAGAAGGUGCAACGGGACCAAGGUGCGUGCGUGUGCGUGUGUGUGUGUGUGUGUGUGUUUAACACCAUGUGUGUGUUAGAGAGAGCGACAGAUCGACCUACUCCUACAGAGAGAUGUUGUGUAGUGUACGAUUUUAGCCGCGAGAGUCGGUGCAUCCUCUCGUUUUCGGGCGUGUCCGGUAGGGACAUGCGGAUAGCUGCCACGCCCGCUCCUGACCAGCCUGGCCCACCCAAAGCCCCUCCAUCGCCCGCGCGCGCUUCCUGCCCGAAACGGUCAGUGCCGCUCCAAAGAAUCGGUGUCGCAUUCAUGCCCGGGCAGAGCGGACGUGACCUCUCACUAGCGCAAGAGUGAUGGUUGCUUCGUCUGUCCAACUUACUGUUGGGUCUAUGUGAUUUGAUGGCUCAUUGGUCUUUAUUACUGAGGUGGUAGGACUUCUGGAUGUCCCACGCUUUCGGCGAAAGGAGGUAUACUACUACUAGAUUACAAUUUUCUCCAUUCUUACAGAGGAGGCGUGCAAGAGCAGUGAAAACACGCAGGCUCAAUGAUUACAUGGACCACCUCACACUACUAUCACCGUGCGACACCUAACUCUUUACAUAGUACUCCCUCCGUUCCUAAAUAUUACUAGAUGAGUCCCCGCGCGUUGGCGCGGAACAGCGGUAUAUCUCUCUGUGCAAAAUUAUCGAUUUCACAGAACAAAAAAAUCUAUAUAACCGCAUGACAAAUGUGGUAGCCAAACUAAAUAAACUCCCAUCAUCAUUUUGAUCAUCCCACGUAAGGAAAAAAGAUCAGCCAACUCCUGAACUCCUACUGCAUAAUGGGAUUAUAUUUUUCUUUUUGACAUGUUAAUGGGACUUAAAAGCUCACUUACAUGCAUGCUACCGGUGCAUGCUUGCAUGCAGACAUGUUGAUGUGAUUUAAAGCCCACUCACAUGCAUGUGGCACGGUAUUUCUACAUGCUUGCAUGUGGCUUAGUGCGGAGCCUCUCAACGUCAAGAUCAGACGGCUAUUAUGGACUGAUUUACUUCAUCUAACGGCUACAUCAAUUUUGAUGACGUGGCUCAAGGAGAGGAUAGAGAAUUCCUAGUAGUGGGGGCUAGCUAUUACUAGUAGAUAUAAGUCUUUGUAGAGAUUCCACUACAUACAGAACAAAAUGAAUGAAUCUACACUUAAAAUGCAUCUAUAUACAUCUGCAUGUGGUUCAUGGUGAAAUCUCUACAAAGACUUAUAUUUAGCAACGGAGGAAGUACUAGUAUAGUACGUACUAUAAUUUAUCAGCGAGAUAAAUUUGUACAAUGCUAUGAAGCUUCCAGCUUCUGUUACAUGUAUCUUGCGUCCAAGGUUGCCCGUUGCAAAAUUUCAUCAAAUACUAAGGAGACUAACAUGCACGCUAUUGCAUCUCAAUGAUUGACAGAUCAUAGCAAAUAUGUACUCCCUCCGUUCCAAAAUAAGUUUCUCAACUUUGUGCAAACUUUAGUACAAAGUUGUACUACUACUAAAGUUGACACUUAUUUUGGAACAGAGGUAGCUAAAGAAAAAAAUGAUCCAUGCAGUUCCUAACCCUUGAACCAUGAACCCUGACCAGGCUUCAAUUUGCUGGCAACAUUUGAGCUUCCUAAUAAAUGAAGUUUGCAACCUUUUGACCAUCGGAUCAUUUUCUGCAGUUUCACCAAAAUUGAGAUGAGCAUCCCUGUGGCAAAGAAAUUGAACA